rnacentral:lncRNA from 1 species
ACGAUGAUGGUGAAGAUUAAGGAGGUCCUAGAUGAUGCCAUGGAGAAGCAGACGAAGGAGGAGCCAGUGAAGAUAUGGCUAGGCAAACUUCAGCACCUGGCUUGUGAUGUUGAUUACUUGUUGGAUGAGUUUCAAACAGAAGCUUUCCAGAGGAUGUUGCUGCAAGAUGCUGAUGCGAUGUCUAAAGUAAAGGAGGUCAAUGCUCGAUUGCAAGAUAUUGCAUGGCAAAUAAACGUACUAGGUUUGAAAGAAAGUUCCGGAGGGAAGUCUACAAAUGUCAGGCAAAGAUUUCCCACGACCCUGUCGGUGAGUGAAGCUACCUUAUAAAUAUUGAAAUUCAAACAGAAAAAUUUUACAGCAAACUGACAGAAAUAGUGAUAAAUCGGCAUCAAUUUACUCAGUUAAUUAAAAAUUAAGACAAUAGAUGAUGAUUUGUCACUGUUCUUAUUAUUUUCUCGAUCUCCUUAGUAAUUUUUCACCAAUGUAAAUGGUAGGGAAAAAGAUAAAGAAGAGAUAUUGAACCGUGCAUGCUACAAAAAUAAAGACUACAUACAAAUGCUAAUUCAAAAUGUUUUCUUUUGUUCUGAAGCUAAUCUCAGCGGCAGUAAGAGGUGGAAGUCGAGAUCGUGGUCCUACAAUCUUUAGUCCACUAAUCGAGAAAGAGGACUUGGCUUUUUUGAAAAAAGAAGAUUGUUUUGCUUCUUUGGAGAAAAUAAGAUCAUGUUGGAAUGGAGAAGUUUACAAAGCCGAGCUACCAGGAAGCAGUGGUAGGGUGAUUACUAUUAAGAAGGUUAUCCAACCCCUAAAGAGUGAAGCAGAGUUGAUUAAACAAGAUAGUGAACCACUGCACCAUAAAAUGAUCCAAAUUCAGUCUGAGAUUAUAACUGCAGGUCAAGUGAGGCAUCGGAAUAUUGUUCCUUUGCUGGCUCGUAUUGUCCGGCCUGACUGCGAUUUACUUGUCUACGAAUUCAGGAGGAAUGGAAGUUUACAAGACAUUCUAUAUGAUGUCUCACAAGGAAGAAGAGAAUUAGAUUGGCUAGCUAGACACAGGAUUGCGCGAGGAAUAGCUUCUGGGCUUGAGUAUCUGCAUAUGUCCCACAGGCCUCGUAUUAUCCAUAGAGAUAUUCAGCCAGCGAACGUGCUUAUAGACGAUGAUAUGGAAGCCAGGAUUUCUGAAUUUGGUCUUGCAAAGCAAAUUCCUAAUGGUUGGACACGAACCACAACUUGGAGUCUGGCGGGAACGGUGGGAUACAUAGCCCCAGAGUGUCACCAGACGGUAGCACUCUCUGACAAGUGUGAUAUAUACAGCUUUGGGGUGUUGCUAGCUGUUUUAAUGAUGGGAAAAUUUCCAUCCGAUGAUUUUUUCCAGCAUACCAAAGAGAUGAGUUUGGUUCAAUGGAUGAAAAAUGUCAUGACUUCUGAGAACCCUAGCCGGACUAUCGAUUCGAAGCUCAUCGGCAAUGGGUAUGAGAAGCAAAUGCUUCUUGUUUUGAAGAUUGCUUGUUUUUGCACUUUGGAUGAUCCAGAGGAGAGACCUAACAGUAAGGAUGUUAGGUGCAUGUUGUCUCAGAUUCAGCACUAAUUAAGGAUGUGGAUUUUUUCUGAAAAUGUACAAGAGCAUAACAACGUCACUUGUGAUGAACAAUGUAUGCUCUCUAAUUAAGUUGUACAAUUGCGAUCCCCUCUGAGUUUUUAGUUAUCUGAUCGAUACAGAGUGGUUCAGGUCAUUAUACAAAGUAGAAACCAUUUCUGAAAUGCGGCAUAUUUUCUAUGUUUCAGCAGUCAUACGUUUCUGGCAACACGCCAAGCCUUUCACUUUGCAUAAGAAAAAUAGCAAGAACAACUCAAUAUCGGUACUUAGUCCCUUCCAUGAGCAUAUUCUAACACGUAUUCUGAGAAAAGGGAAAGUUGCAGGCAAGUGCGUUUUAGAAAAAAAAAAAAAAAAAAAAGUUUCCUUCAAAAAGCAACUAACCGUGUUUCACAUUUCGCUUCUGAUCGUGUCUCCAUUUUUUAUUUACAAACCAGUUCAAAAGAGCUUUCAAAAAUUCAGAAUCAUGAAAAAAAAAAAAUAUUGUCUGGCCAGUGGGAACACUUAAGGCCUUUCAAACAGCACGUUGUAAAAAGUAAAUCAAAGCACAAAUAUGAAAGGCUAAAAUAUUGGAAAGUGUUCUCCAGUUGUGAGAAGGGAGAUCAGAGAUACCACAACUGGGGCUAGAUAUUGGAAAGCAGAAAAGUAUCUCAAAGGGCAUGGGACCUUAUGUUUUGAAUGUUGCAACUAGAGGAUGCAUCUAAGCCAUCCAGCCCACUUUCAUGCUCAAUACAUCAAAGCCCAAUACAGAGUCGUGACUACAGCCCAACAGAGAGGAAAUGUAAAAUGACGGUCAGGAGAAAACAAUACCAGAUGGGGAGCUAGAGAGGUUCCGUACUUAUAUGUUAACGCCUUGAUGGACUUGGAAAACCGAAUGCACUGUAUUGCUAGACAUACACACCUAAUUCACUGAAAGUGGCUAAUAAAUACAGAGAAUAAUCCAAAGCUAGAUAUUUUUCCACAAUGUAGCUCAACGGACUGCAAGUUGGGUAGCAACCUUUCCGUUUAUUUAUUUGUUUGGAGAAGUACUGCCAUAUUUCAUCCGAAAAAUGUAAGUCUAGUGUGAUUAAUAAUAUUUACCCUUCUCUUCAAAAAACAAAAAAACAUUAAGUAGAGGUGUACCAGCACCCUGUUCAAAUCAAACUUGUUUUGGGCUUAUGGCACAGCCUAAAAUAACUAGGCUCAGUGGGGAAAACGGAAAACCGAAGUCAUUUUCAAAUAUUCAGAAAAAGAAAUUUGGUCUCACACCAAAUGUUUGAAAGUCCUCAAUAGCAUUAAAAAUGUAGUACCGUGCUUACUCUCAGAAAAGCCGCACAAUGAACCAUGAAAUUCCACCAUAUUCUAUGAUUUUAUAAUCAGGAUCAUUAUAUAGUCCUACAACAUAAGUCAUACAAAAAUACAUUUAUUAGCUUUGAUUAAUUAGAAACAGAGAAAAACAUAAUAGAUCAACAUGAACCCACCACCAGAUAAACAAUAAUGUUGUGCGACUGCAAUUACUUAGUACAUCCUCAAUGACCAACUAUUUCACAUACUGCAGUCCCUUUUGCCCGUUUGAUUUUAUUGAAGUCCACUGCCUACAUACAUAUACAUACAUACAUACAUAUAUAUAUAUAGUUAUUCUGAGGUGUGGCCGCUCUCUUUUUUUUUUAAAAAUAUAGACGCAUUAUUAAACCGUGUGGGUUAAUAGAGUCAAUUUUCAAUGCACUAUAAAAUUGUAUGGUUUAAUAACAUAUUUGUACUGACUCUAUUAAACUUUAUUGUUUAACAGCAUAUCUGGAUUUUUUUUAAAAAAAAAGAUGCCCACACUAGAGAAGGAUUGUGUCUGUGUAUGUGAGACAUUUUAACAUAAACUAUAUACAAAAGACAUUUUAACAUAAAUUUUUUACAUAUUUUUAUUAGCAUUUUAUAAAUUUUUUAAUAUAUUGUCUUAUAUAUGGUAACUCAAUUCCUACUUUAUUCAUGUGAAUGGGUUAGAACCUCAAAUGUAUAUAUCUCACGUCAAUAAAUUUUACCAAUAAAGUUAACUAGUAGUGUUAGCCUAAAGGGCUACACAUAAUAUAAUUUUGAUGAUAACAAACAUAUGUAAUAAGUGAUUUAAUAGAUAUUGUAUUUCACAUUUUCACUAGUUUUUGAAGGGUAAUAUUUAUGCAAGUGAAUUUUUUUUCUUCCUCUUCCUCUUUUUACUUUAUGCCUCCUCACGCUCUUUCCCCCUCCACAUUUUCUAUUCUUUCUUCUCCUAUUUUUUUUCUUUCUUCCCCCUUCCCUUUCUUUUUCUAUUCUCUUUUCUUCCCCCCCCUUUUUAUUUUCUUUCUUCUUUUCUUUUUCCCUCUUUCCUUUCUUUUUUUUUCCCCCCCUUCUACCCUUUUCCCCCACUUUUUUCCCCCCNNNNNNNNNNNNNNNNNNNNNNNNNNNNNNNNNNNNNNNNNNNNNNNNNNNNNNNNNNNNNNNNNNNNNNNNNNNNNNNNNNNNNNNNNNNNNNNNNNNNNNNNNNNNNNNNNNNNNNNNNNNNNNNNNNNNNNNNNNNNNNNNNNNNNNNNNNNNNNNNNNNNNNNNNNNNNNNNNNNNNNNNNNNNNNNNNNNNNNNNNNNNNNNNNNNNNNNNNNNNNNNNNNNNNNNNNNNNNNNNNNNNNNNNNNNNNNNNNNNNNNNNNNNNNNNNNNNNNNNNNNNNNNNNNNNNNNNNNNNNNNNNNNNNNNNNNNNNNNNNNNNNNNNNNNNNNNNNNNNNNNNNNNNNNNNNNNNNNNNNNNNNNNNNNNNNNNNNNNNNNNNNNNNNNNNNNNNNNNNNNNNNNNNNNNNNNNNNNNNNNNNNNNNNNNNNNNNNNNNNNNNNNNNNNNNNNNNNNNNNNNNNNNNNNNNNNNNNNNNNNNNNNNNNNNNNNNNNNNNNNNNNNNNNNNNNNNNNNNNNNNNNNNNNNNNNNNNNNNNNNNNNNNNNNNNNNNNNNNNNNNNNNNNNNNNNNNNNNNNNNNNNNNNNNNNNNNNNNNNNNNNNNNNNNNNNNNNNNNNNNNNNNNNNNNNNNNNNNNNNNNNNNNNNNNNNNNNNNNNNNNNNNNNNNNNNNNNNNNNNNNNNNNNNNNNNNNNNNNNNNNNNNNNNNNNNNNNNNNNNNNNNNNNNNNNNNNNNNNNNNNNNNNNNNNNNNNNNNNNNNNNNNNNNNNNNNNNNNNNNNNNNNNNNNNNNNNNNNNNNNNNNNNNNNNNNNNNNNNNNNNNNNNNNNNNNNNNNNNNNNNNNNNNNNNNNNNNNNNNNNNNNNNNNNNNNNNNNNNNNNNNNNNNNNNNNNNNNNNNNNNNNNNNNNNNNNNNNNNNNNNNNNNNNNNNNNNNNNNNNNNNNNNNNNNNNNNNNNNNNNNNNNNNNNNNNNNNNNNNNNNNNNNNNNNNNNNNNNNNNNNNNNNNNNNNNNNNNNNNNNNNNNNNNNNNNNNNNNNNNNNNNNNNNNNNNNNNNNNNNNNNNNNNNNNNNNNNNNNNNNNNNNNNNNNNNNNNNNNNNNNNNNNNNNNNNNNNNNNNNNNNNNNNNNNNNNNNNNNNNNNNNNNNNNNNNNNNNNNNNNNNNNNNNNNNNNNNNNNNNNNNNNNNNNNNNNNNNNNNNNNNNNNNNNNNNNNNNNNNNNNNNNNNNNNNNNNNNNNNNNNNNNNNNNNNNNNNNNNNNNNNNNNNNNNNNNNNNNNNNNNNNNNNNNNNNNNNNNNNNNNNNNNNNNNNNNNNNNNNNNNNNNNNNNNNNNNNNNNNNNNNNNNNNNNNNNNNNNNNNNNNNNNNNNNNNNNNNNNNNNNNNNNNNNNNNNNNNNNNNNNNNNNNNNNNNNNNNNNNNNNNNNNNNNNNNNNNNNNNNNNNNNNNNNNNNNNNNNNNNNNNNNNNNNNNNNNNNNNNNNNNNNNNNNNNNNNNNNNNNNNNNNNNNNNNNNNNNNNNNNNNNNNNNNNNNNNNNNNNNNNNNNNNNNNNNNNNNNNNNNNNNNNNNNNNNNNNNNNNNNNNNNNNNNNNNNNNNNNNNNNNNNNNNNNNNNNNNNNNNNNNNNNNNNNNNNNNNNNNNNNNNNNNNNNNNNNNNNNNNNNNNNNNNNNNNNNNNNNNNNNNNNNNNNNNNNNNNNNNNNNNNNNNNNNNNNNNNNNNNNNNNNNNNNNNNNNNNNNNNNNNNNNNNNNNNNNNNNNNNNNNNNNNNNNNNNNNNNNNNNNNNNNNNNNNNNNNNNNNNNNNNNNNNNNNNNNNNNNNNNNNNNNNNNNNNNNNNNNNNNNNNNNNNNNNNNNNNNNNNNNNNNNNNNNNNNNNNNNNNNNNNNNNNNNNNNNNNNNNCAAGAAAUUAAUUCUUUUGUUGAGCUCUAAACUUUAUUCUUGAUUUCGCCGUUGUCCGUUGAGUGUCUUGAGCUUGAUUUCACUUGAUUCACUUGCAUAAAUAUUACCCUUCAAAAACUAGUGAAAAUGUGAAAUACAAUAUCUAUUAAAUCACUUAAUACAUAUAUUUGUUAUCAUCAAAAUUACAUUACGUGUAGCCCUUUAGGCUAACAAUCUCUCCCUUUUUGAUGAUGACAAACAUUUCAUGUACUUUGACAUUUAUACUCCCCCUUAAUACAUGGCAUAUAUAAUUAAACAUAUAAAUUAAAUUCAAAACAAAAACUCCACCUGAAUAUUUCAAAAUUAUGCACAAAUACUUUAAGAUCAAAAUACAUAUUAUACGUCUUCAUAUUCAAAAUACAUGACUUCGAUUACUUUUUAUAAACUAAGAGGUUUUAUUUCUAUAAGAUAAAGUACCUUGUGGUUUUGAGUAAUUUGGACUUAAAUGUAAACUUUUGAAAUCUUUGAUUUUAAUAAGUAUUAUUAUUGAAUUUCAGAGUUGGACCUUGUUACGAACAUUUGAAAUGUUUUUGGGCCAUACUAUAAUUUAUGAAUAUUUUGGACUAAAGUGAAAGGUUUUUGAGAACUUUGAAAAAUAUGGGUAUUAUGUUGAAAAGGACCUUUUUGUGAAAUAAUAAUAUCUUUGGGGCCAUAUCAUAAUUUCAGAAAGUUUGGGAAAGACAACUAUUCUUAGGAAAUUCUAUAAUUAGACCUAUUUACAAAGUUUUAUGACGUUUUGGGUCGUAGUAUAAUUAUAGAAAGUUUUAGGCCAAAGUAUAUUUUUAGUGAGCAUUGUUACUGUAGCAAAAUUCAAAAAAAAUAACGGUAAUAUUACUGUUCAUGAGCGGCUAGCGGGAUAAAUCAAGCGUCUAACCGCGUGGGUGCUGAAAUUUGCCUAUAACGACUAGUUUUCAGGCUUUAACUAUAAAAACUCAACUCCAACUUCAUUUUAAGAACUAAUGCAAGCAAAAAUACGAUCAUAUAACAUAUAUUGAGCUUCCAUUUCGCAAAUCAUCAUUUAUUGAAUCAUUAUUGAGCUAUAAUUUGUUAUCCACUCUUAAAGAGAGUUUCAUUGUUGUGAUUUUCAUUUCUCAUCAAAUUGUGAGUGUACAAGUGUGAGAAACACUUGGGGUGAAGAGAUUGGGGAUAUAAUCUCUUGUUGUAAAAGUCUAUUGACACAUUGGAAGUCAAUUGUAAACAUUUGAAGCCUUGGGAGGUUUGAAUAGUAAAAUCCUCAAGCCGGGUGAGCUUGGAGGCGUGGACGUAGGCGGGGAUUGCCGAACCACGUAAAAAUCCUUGUGUUUGUUUUCUCUUCCCUUAUUCUUUUAAUAUUAUGCUUGAUUGAAUUUAUGAUUUUGGAUUUGAUUAAGGCAAUAGAUUAAAUUGUUGUGCGAAUUGUAUUGCAUAUUUUUAAAAACCCAAUUCACCCCCCUUCUUGGGUUGCAUAACUUGCAUUUCAUUUGGUAUCAGAGCAAAGUGCUCUUAUGUAGACUUAACCGUCUAGAGUUAAAGAUCCAUGGCAACCCAUAAUGACUCAACUUUUAGGGAAGGACAAUCCACAAUUAGACCACCGUUCUUUGACGGUAAUGACUACCCAUAUUGGAAAACUAGGAUGAGAAUUUAUUUACAAGCUUUAGAUUAUGAAAUUUGGGAAAUUGUUUGUGAUGGUCCAUUUAUGCCUUUGACUAAAAACGAAGUUAGGGAAGAUAUUCCAAAACCUUCACGGGAAUGGAAUGAAUUGAAAAAGAGAAAAGCUUCUCUAAACUCCAAAGCUAUGAAUGUCUUGUUUUGUGCACUAGAUAAUAAAGAAUUUCAUAGAGUAUCUAGUUGUGAAAGUGCUAAUGAAAUUUGGUACAAACUUGAAGUUGUUUAUGAAAGCACGAAUCAAGUGAAAGGGUCUAAAAUUAGUAGGUAUACUCGACAAUAUGAAUUGUUUCAAAUGGAACAAAAUGAGAGUGUGUAUUCUAUGUAUACUAGAUUUACGGACAUAGUGAACACUCUAGGAACCCUAGGAAAGACCUUUUCAAAUAGCUAGAAAGUUAAGAAAAUCAUUAGGUCGCUACCUAAGGAAUGGAGACAAAAAAGGACUGCCAUUAAGGAAGCCAAAAUUUUAAAUAUUUUACCUAUUGAUGAUUUAAUUGGUUCUCUUAUUUCUUAUGAGGAAGACUUGACAGCCAAAAGAGGCAAUGAGGAGAAGAAGAAAAGCAUUGCUCUCAAAGCCUCGAAACAUGAGAGUGAUGAGGAAAGCAAGCUGGAUGAGGAGGAGAUGGAUAUGCUGGCUAGGAGGUUUAGAAAACUUUUUAAGAAAUCCGGUGAGCGAAGAAAAUUUAGAGAUCUCAAGAACCGAAAGGAGAAGAAGAAAGUAAUCAAAUGUUAUGAGUGCAAGAAGCCUGAUCAUAUAAGAACGAAAUGCCCUCUUCUCAACAAGCUCAAGAAGAAAGCAAUGGUAGCCACAUGGGAUGAUAGCGAUGAGGAAACAAGUGAUGAUGAAGAGCAUCAAGAAAUGAAAAAUCUAGCUCUCAUGGAAAUUGGAGAUGAAUCGGAUGAUGAACUUGAUAAGGUAAAUGAUCUCUCUACUUAUGAUGAAUUAUAUGAUGCUUUUAAAGAAUUGCAUGAUAAUUGGAUAAAAAUUGGUAAAAAGAAUGCAUGUCUUAAAAAGAAAAUGGUAAAGCUCACAAAUGAAAAUGAAUCUCUAAGUGUAAAGAUUACAUGCCUAGAAUUAGAGAAUAAAACAUUGCAUGAUAGAGUUGCAUUAUCAAAUGAGAAACCUAACACUUCACAUGAGCAUCUAGAAUCAUAUGUAGAUGACUUGAAAAAUGAAAAUGAUGCUUUACAAAAAUGUAAUGAUUCAUUAAAUGAAAAGAUUAAAGAACUAGAGUUAGAUAAUAAAAUGUUGCAUGAUAGAAUUGCAUCAUUUAAAGGUAAACAAAGUAUUUCAUAUGAGCAUGAAAAAUCACAUGUUGAUGAAUUGAUGAAAGAAAAUGAAGUGCUUAAGAAAAAGAGUAAUGAGCUCAACGAAAUUGUGUUAAAAUUCACAAGUGGUCAAAAGAACUUAGAAAAAUUACUAAGCACUCAAAAAUGUGUGUUUGAGAAAGGAGGACUUGGGUAUAAACCUAACUUGAAACAAAAAUAUUAUAAAAAUUAUUUUGUUAAGGCUACCUCCACAAGUGAUUGUAAGAUUGUUUUGUCAUUAUUGUAAUGGAAAUGGUCAUAUGAGUUUUAGAUGUCCAAUUAAGAGAAAUGUAUAUUAUGGAGUCAAGUGUAUUUGGGUUCCAAAAGGAACCAAAUCUAACACUCAAGGACCCAAGAGUAUUUGGGUACCAAAAUGCACAACUUGAAUAUUUUCUUUGUAGGUACCACAAUCAAGGAAUGGCAAAGAGUUCCUUGAUAAAAGCUUAUGAGGAUAAUCAUUUGAUCAUGGUGUAAGCAAAAAUGAUGAGAUAAUAUGAUUUAAUUGUUUUGGUAAUAAUUAUUGCCUUAUUGAUUAUAAGUGAUGGUCUUUUAAUCUUAGUAAGUAUCUAAUAAUUCAUCUGGUAUCAUAACAUUAAGUGCAUUAACAUGAAGUGGAUAAGUUUAUUUUGCAUAUUUAUUAUAUUGAGUGGAUCAUGAAAAAUGGAUAGUAGCUUGAAUUUGUGAAAGUAUGCUUGUAUGUUUACAUGAUUGAAUUAUCAUUGUGUUUAACAUUGAGUGUUUUAUCAUGAUGGAUUUGUUUGAUUUUAAUGAUUAUGUAAUGCCUAAGUAUGAUAAAUGAGUAAUAUGCUUGAAUUAUUAAUCUUUGAAUACUUAUAUGUUUCAUGAUUGAGUAAAAUAUAUACAUGAUGGAUGAAUUAUAUGUGUGAAUUAAUCAUGUCUUAAAUGUUUAUAAUUUCAACCAUAAAGUGUUAUUGUAUCUCAUAAUUGUGAUGGAUAUGCAUGAUGAAUAUGUUAUAAAUUUGAGUUUUAUGAUUUUUUGGAUGUUUAAAAUCAUGAUUCAUGCAUUAAAUUGGCUCUUGAGAUGUUUCGGUAUCACGAAAUGGUCUUGGGAUUGCUCAAAUUUCAGCCGGACAGCAAAUUGGUGCAGGGGAGCAGAAACCAGGCGGCUAGCCGCCUGAAUCAAGCGGCUAGCCGCUUGAAAUCUGCUCAAACCCGAGAGCAAGUGGCUAGCCGCUUGCCCCCAAGCGGUUAGCCGCUUGGUCACGGGUUUAAGAGAUUUUCCCCCUAUUUUUCAUGUGUUCUUUAACCUCUCUCCAUUCUCUCUCAAAGCCGAACAUAUCCCCUCCAUUUCCACUUAAUAUUUCUUCAUUUCUCACUCUUUUUCAUGGCAAGAUCAAAUCUUUCAAACCGUUACCCAUGUAUUUAACCUCUCAUUAAACACUUCUCAAUCAUCAUUUCUUCACUUGUUCUUCAUCAUUUCAUCAUCAUCUCUCACGCGUGAACAGUACUUCUCCAUUUCUCUCUCAAAUUUCUUCAUCUUUCACUCAUUUUCUUGUUAAAAUCAAUCAUCCAAAUCAUUAUUCAUCCAUUACUCCUUCAAUUUUCAUUCUCAAAACUUCAUUUCAUCAACUCUCCACAUAAAACCCAAAAUAAAAAACCUAACUCUACCCUGUUUCUCUCUCUUCAUUUUCAAGCUUCCUUUAGCCCAUUUUUUAUCCAAUCUACAUCAUAUAUUAGCUUUAUUCAUCUCUAGGAUCGAUUUUCUUGGCUCAAACAAAUCCAUUUCACUCAAUUUUUUGUAAACCCGAAAUUGGAUCUUUAAGCUUGUUUUUGUUCCAACAAUGGUGGGUGGUGAAAAAUCCAAGAGCAAACAAGUUGCCAAGAGAUGCAAGGACGAUUAUGGAGAUAAUACGGAGUUCAUAUCAACUCACUUUCAGCAUCUACCUCUUCGGAAACGGUUUCACGACAAUUUUAUGUCGAGGUCGGUUAUCGCUCCCUAUUUUGUUAAUCUUCGUAAUUUGAAGAAUUUAGAAAUUUGUGACAAAUCUCUUAGUUAUUUUCUCAUUGCUAUGGGCUGAAAAAAUGUUUUAGUUAUUAAGGAGCAAUACUAUGAAAAUUUAGUUAAGGUGUUUUAUUCGAAUAUGAUUAUGGGAUCCUCGGAUAUAAUUGUUGCAAGUGUUGGGGGAAUUCAUAUUGAAUUUGAUGAUUGAUGAUUAUAUGUGUGUCGCUUGUUGUUGGUUUGUUAUAAUUGUUUCAGCUUAUAUGGAAGUGUUUUUAAUCAUGUUGUAUAUUUAAGGAUUUGUUCAUUUUAAGGGGAGACUCUGCCGAAAUUUUUGCUCGCACAAAAUUGGUAAUAUCUUUAUCGAAUUAUUUUUUAUGAAGGGGGAGAUAAAUAUGAUAUGUUUUUGGAUAAUAUCAUUUUGGUUAAAUUUUUUAAUUGGCCAUAUAUUUAGGAGGAGCAUACAAUAUGAUUUUGGAUAAUAUGCAUUUUGAGCAUUCUUUUGAUGGCAUGAUGGUUCAUGAUCAUUUUAUGGUUAAUUGGAUGUUUGGUUAUUAUAUGUUUCUUGAUUAACCAUUCACAUAUUAUCGAUCUUAGCAUGAAUUUCUAGUAAUUUUGAUGAUGAACGGGGAGAAGUCAUGUAUUUUGAAUAUGAAGACAUAUAAUAUGUAUUUUGAUCUUAAAGUAUUUGUGCAUAAUUUUGAAAUAUUUAGGGGGAGUUUUUGUUUUGAAUUUAAUUUAUAUGUUUAAUUAUAUAUGCCAUGUAUUAAGGGGGAGUAUAAAUGUCAAAAUACAUGAGAUGUUUGUCAUCAUCAAAAAGGGGAAGAUUGUUAGCCUAAAGGGCUACACAUAAUGUAAUUUUGAUGAUAACAAACAUAUGUAUUAAGUGAUUUAAUAGAUAUUGUAUUUCACAUUUUCACUAGUUUUUGAAGGGUAAUAUUUAUGGAAGUGAAUCAAGUGAAAUCAAGCUCAAGACACUCAACGGACAACGGCGAAAUCAAGAAUAAAGUUUAGAGCUCAACGGACAAAUUAAUGCAAUAAAUUCUUGUAAAGCCGGUAUGAUUUAAUUGAUGCAUGAUUUAUCAUUUGAGAAGCUCAAGAGAUUAAUUUAAUUAAUUACUUUUUAUAAACUAAGAGGUUUUAUUUCUAUAAGAUAAAGUACCUUGUUACGAACAUUUGAAAUGUUUUUGGGCCAUACUAUAAUUUAUGAAUAUUUUGGACUAAAGUGAAAGGUUUUUGAGAACUUUGAAAAAUAUGGGUAUUAUGUUGAAAAGGACCUUUUUGCGAAAUAAUAAUAUCUUUGGGACCAUAUCAUAAUUUCAAAAAGUUUGGGAAAGACAACUAUUCUUAGGAAAUUCUGAAAUUGGACCUAUUUGUAAAGUUUUAUGAUGUUUUGGGCCGUAAUAUAAUUAUAGAAAGUUUUGGGCCAAAGUAUAUUUUUAGUGAACAUUGUUGCUGUAGCAAAAUUAAAAAAAAUAACGGUAAUAUCACUAUUCAUGAGCGGCUAGCCGGAUAAAUCAAGUGUCUAACCGCUUGGGUACUGGAAUUUGCCUAUAAUGGCUAGUUUUCGGGCUUUAACUAUAAAAACUCAACUCCAACUUCAUUUUAAGAACUAAUGCAAGUAAAAAUAAGAUCAUAUAACAUAUAUUGAGCUUCCAUUUCGCAAAUCAUCAUUUAUUGAAUCAUUAUUGAGCUAUAAUUUGUUAUCCACUCUUAAAGAGAGUUUCAUUGUUGUGAUUUUCAUUUCUCAUCAAAUUGUGAGUGUACAAGUGUGAGAAACACUUGGGGUGAAGAGAUUGGAGAUAUAAUCUCUUGUUGUAAAGGUCUAUUGACACAUUAGAAGUCAAUUGUAAACAUUUGAAGCCUUGGGAGGCUUGGAUAGUGAAAUCCUCAAGCCGGGUGAGCUUGGAGGCGUGGAAGUAGGCGGGGAUUGCCGAACCACGUAAAAAUCUUUGUGUUUGUUUUCUCUUCCCUUACUCUUUGAAUAUUAUGCUUGAUUGAAUUUAUGAUUUUGGAUUUGAUUAAGGCAAUAGAUUAAAUUGUUGUGCGAAUUGUAUUGCAUAUUUUUAAAAACCCAAUUCACCCCCCCUCUUGGGUUGCAUAACUUGCAUUUCAAGUAGUAGUGUUCACAAUUGUUUGUUGAUAGGUGGGCUUUGAUAUUUAAAAAAAAUUAAAAAUUAGUAAAAACUACAUCAAUAAAACAAAUUUUCUUAGUUUUCCUUGUUGAACAUAAAUACGUACACUAACUGACAAUGAAUUGUGUAACUCCUUUUCUUCUAAGUUCUUUUUUUUAUAUAUAAUAUAUAUAUAUAUAUAUAUAUAUAUAUAUAUAUAUAUAUAUAUAUAUAUAUAUAUAUAUAAAAUAAAAACAAUGAGAUUUUAAGAGAGUUAGUAUUUAACUCUCUUAAACUGCAUGGUUUUAUAGUUCAUUAAAAAACUAACUCUUUUAAACCGCACAAUUUAAAGUGUGUCCGCAUUAAAAAAAAUACGGACUUCCGCACCUAUAUAUAUAUUAGAAAUGUUCCAAUCCUGAAUUUUAAAGUGUGGGUGUUGUGAAAAUUUUAAUAUACUCGCAAGCGCACGAAUCUAGAAAUAGAGUAGUGGUAACGAGGUCGAUCCCACAGGGAUUGUUAUAAAUUGAAAAGUCUAAUUUAAAUCUAAAAUUAAUAUUAAUUCUAACCUAGUUGACCAAAUUGAGUUUCUAAGAAAAUUAAACCAAUUAAACUAAGGAAGCAAUUAAAAUAAAGGAGAAUUCAAUAAGAUAAGAAUUACCAAGGUUUCAGAAUCCACCACUAUUCAACUAGUAAUUAUCUAAUUAUUAAUUAAUCCCCAAUUUUAGAGUGACAACUCGAAAUCAAUCUAUGUCAUCUCAUGGAUAUAACAAUUAAGCCCAAGUAAUUAAAUCUAAUGUAGGUUCUUUUUCUGCUUAAUAAUAUGACAUCUAAGCAUCCCAUGUAAACAUAUUGAAUAACAAAGAGUCAAAGUUUUCCUAAGCACUCUAUGUAAACAAUUUAAUGAAAGACAUAGAAUCAAAGAUAAUCAUGUAUAAACUUUAUAAAUCCAAGCAUAGAUUUAAUCGAAUAUUAAUCAUAACAAUCAAUAAUGCAUGACAGAAUUGAUGAAAAGAUUUUAAUAACAUCCAAUUAAUCAUGUGAAAUAAAAAUCAUAAUCAUUAAAGAACAUAUAUAGGGAAUUAAAUAAAUAAAAAGAUAAUUAUUUCAUUGAAUAGAGUUUCAUCCUUAACCUCAGUAUAAGAAAAUUAGCUAGACAUACUUGAAUUGAGAGCAACACAAGAAAUAAAAUUAGCCAUGGAAGCUGAAAUAUUGCUACUGUCGAUUGCUCUCUUCCAGCUCUUUUGUUUCCGUCCUCUGGCGGCUCCCCUCUCCAAAAGCCAAAACUCCCUUUUAUAAUCUUUAAAAUGGACCCCACCUCUUAAAUCCUAAAGCCAAAAGGCUUGGCCUUUUACUUGAUUUGCUCUCUCACACGUCUUGGGCACUUAGAAUUGCUAAAGGACUCCUUUUUCCAAUUAUAAAAGCCAAGUGUGGGUCCUUUCUUAAAGCUAAAUCAAUUUCUCUCCUUUGUCCACAUGUACAUAAUGAAUUAAUUUGUUGAAUUCAGUUCCUUGGCUUGAUUUUCGCAUGCAUGUAUGUCUAAUUGCUUCCAAAAAUCAAUUAAUCAUUAAUGCUUACAAAUUGAACUCCUUUAUGCUCUUUUUAUCCAUAAUCUCCAAUUAAUUCCCUAUUCAAUAAAAUAAUUUAAUUAAUUAAAAAUAACAAAUAAAAAUGACUAGCAAUUAAAUAAUUAAGGGUAAAAUAUGUAUAUAAAUUAUGCUCAUCAGUGGGAAUGUUCAAAAAAAUGUAUAAACUGUGCGGUUUAAACGCUUUAAGUUUUUAAGCCUUUAAAGUCCUGCGGUUUUAAAGAUUUCUUGGACUUUUCCCGCACUUUAAGAUCUCGGACUCUCUCUCUCUCUCUCUCUCUCUCUCUCUCUCUCUCUCUAUAUAUAUAUAUAUAUAUAUAUAUAUAUAUUCUUUUUUACCACUUUCUCUCACACUGUUUUCCUUGCGUUUGAUUUUCUUCUCCUUUCUUUAUCUCAAACCUGAACUUUGGUAAUAAUAAGAAUCUAUAUAUGUACAUGAUGGAUCUGUAAGCCCUUAAUGAGAAUAUAUAUGUGUUCUUUUAUCUAUUAAUAACAUCUUUAUUUUGUUAAAAUGAAGAUAUACUCAUUAACAAGUUAUUCUAUAUACAUAUCUAAUAUAUGUAAGACUUAAUUGAUUGUGCAAAUUAUUAGUUGUUGGAAUUUCAAACAAACCACAAGUACUUUAGUAUUUACUCUGCUAAUAAUUGGGCUAGGAAAAUAUAUUGCUUUCCUUCCAAAUAUAAGGAAAAGAAUCCACAGAUUCAUAAAAAAUUAUAAAAAUAUAUAGAUUGAAAACAACCUUCACAUUAUAUUGAAUUGGAAGUCAAAUAAGCCGGCGCCUUGUGUAAACCUUUCAUGAGAAAUUCUAGAAUACAUCAAAGGCACCAUGUUAGUCAUACAAUAAGCAAAUAAUGUUAUGACAUGUAUGCAUUUAUUUUGAAAAAUCAUUAUGCAAGUGAUGGUCAUAUUAAACUCAAUUACACAUGUCAUGCAUGCAUCAAUUGAUUGUAAUACAGGUAUUCUAGAAUUUCUUUGCUUUCAUACCGAGUUUUUAAAUUUUUUGUAAAUCUGCAAUCUAAUGAUGCUAUAAAUCAAUAAUAAUGUAUUUGUCUUGUAAAUGAAAAGUGGGACCAUAAUUAAAUGUUUCCUCCACAAAAAUGGUGCUCCUCUCGGUGUUAAACAAGGAAAAGCAAUAGGAAAUCUCCACGAAGCAAGUCUAGCUCAUGCUCACUAGAAGAUUUUCUUAAGUUAUGAAGAUUUGAACAGAGAAGUCCAGCGAAUAUUCCUCUAAGUCAAUCUGAAGAAUUGACUUGAUCAGAGUCAAGUCUCAAAUUUUCUCCUAAAAAUAAGGGUUUGAGCUCUAUCCUCUCAACGGUUAUCCCACAGUUUAGGGGGCUAAGGACUCUGACAUUUAUUAAAGCUUCCAAAAAUUUAAACCAAGUGAUCUUUUCUCUCUCUACCUCAAAAUUCUUUUUGAGAAAAUAGCAUUGGGAGUUCAUUCUUUCUUUCUUCUUUUCAUUUUUAAAGCCUUUCGAGUAUACUAGUUAUAAUCAAUGCUCAACAACUUAAUACACAUUAAUCCAUUAAACCUAAAGAACUGACUUGAGUAUUGAAGGAUUUAAUGCGAACAAGAUCCCCAACUUUCCUCUAAUCAUUUAUUGUGAAUGUAGAUAUUUUUUUGGGAAGUACUCGUGAUCGCCUGUGUUUGCUCGAGUGAAUAGGGAGUUUAUGGUCAAGAUCAUCUAUCCCAUCAUUAUAAAUUUUAAGUGUUGACAUUGGCAUCUAGUUAUUGCUCAACACGAUCAUAUUUCAGCAUCGACAAUAUUGAUUUCAAAUAUAGUAUUGUUUUUAUAUUAUUUAUAGUAUAAUUCAAAGUCUUUAUUAAUAAUUUAAUAAAAAUUUAAUUUUAGGGAUCCUAAUAUUACUUGAGUUAAUUGAUGCAUCAUUCAUCAAUUAGAUAGUAAAAUAAUAUUAUAUAAUAAUUAUGCAUUUAUCAUCCAAUAAAUGAGUAGAAAAUAUAAAAGAAAUUAUAGUUCUUAGCCCAAAUCUCUACCUUGUAGGCCAUGAUUUUGUGGUAUCUUAUAAUAGAGAUGGCAAAAAUACUUGGGCCUGGCCUCGCCUGGCUUGUAAAGGGCAGGCCAGGCUCGCGGGCUUUAGGCUUGGCCUGCAACAAAUGGGCAUGGUCAUGGGCUAAAAAUUUAAAAGUCCACAAUAGAUGGGCCUGGAUAUGGGCUCAUGGGAAAAGCACGAGCUUUAUUUUUUAUAAAUAAAAUUUUUUAGUUUAUAUAUUGUGUUGCUUUAUACUUUAAAUUUUAUAUAUUUUAUAUUUUUUGUAUUUGAUUAUUAGUCUAUUAUAUAUUGUACAUAUUCUUUUUAAAAUUUUUAUCUAAGCCCAUGCCCGGCCGUCUAAGUGUGGAUGGUUUGGAGAGUUUGAGCAUGCUGUCAAUAACUUAGGCCUAAGCAUGAGCUUCAAAAAGCCCGGCCCAGACCCUUAAAUUGCCAUCCCUAGUUAUAUGUCUUAAAGAUUUGGGGUUGCAACCCUUAAACCUAUACAUAGGGCCCUCCCCAUCCCCACCAUGAACCAUUUCACCAAUGAAUUUUCAUGAAUUACCACUCUCAAAACAAGCGUAAAGGCAAAGGAAUUUUCAUCAAUUAUCAAUUUAAGAAAUUGGUAAAAAAAUUAAGUAAUUUUAAAAUAUAAAACACUCAUCAUUAACCUAAAAUACUAUAUUUUAUAAAAUACAUAUAAAACAAAAUAAUAAUAAUAAUAAAACAAAAUACGGAUGUUACAUUUUGUGCUCUAUAGCAUUGUCCACUAAUAGGAUCACAAUACCUCCAUUCUUUCUAUUUGUAGGCAACAAAUCUUCUUCUCUACUUUGUUAAAAUAAGCUUAACACUAUCUUCCAAAGCCCAACUCAUAGAAGCUUCUAUGAGUGAGUAUAAAAAAAAAAAUUGUGGUGUGCGAUAUUAUUAGCGAUAGGUGUAGUCGGUGAAAUGUAUGGUUAUUAAUUAUUUGUAAUUUUUUAUUUGAAUGGUUUAGAUUUGUUCUCAUGUACUAAAAAUACCUCCUGUAUCAUUUGGUAAAGCAUCAAGUGAAGAGUGAAGAAUUAGAAAAGAGAAAAAAGAGUGAACCAUGAGUGUUGUAGUAUAUCUCUUGUAAAAUUUCAAUAAAGUCCUUUAGGUUUAAUCAACUUUACAAUUGCCCAAAUUGUUUUAGUUUUGUGUAGUUUAGUCCUCCACAGUUUUCAACAAUUGGUAUUAGAGUGUGAUUGGUCGAGGACCACUACAUCAGUGAUGCCAGAAGUUCAUGACAAUUGAGAACUAUCGUGGAGAAGUUGUAAGAGUAUAAUGUCGACGAUCGAGGAUAAUUUGGCGGAGUUGUAUUGAAUCAUGAAGAGUUUGAAACUCUUUAAGUUCGUUGGUGAAGAUCGAGCUUACUUGGCAUUGUCAAAAUCUUGCAAAUACAACUGAUGACCUUUAAGUUUACGGAGAAGUCAAGAAGCUCAACAACAAAAAUAAAAAUACAUAGACAACAUUAAUAGUCUUAUUCAUAAGGCCAAGACCUCUUGGGAAUUGUUUAUGGUAAUGAUCGGAAACCACCAACCUCUUGGAAAUCGUUUUUCUAUUGUCACAUUUUUUUUGUGAAAUUGAUAGUAACUCAUUCUUCAGAAGUUGUAGCCACAUUCCAUUCUUCUUUGACAAAAUAGUUGCGAAAGUGUCCUGAGCUUCCUUAGGGGCUUUAGCCUUUCUUUUGUGUUGUACAAUCUUUUCUUUAGUUAUAAUAUUAUAAUCAGUAUGGCCUUCCCAACUUUAAUGUUCCACUUUUUUAAAGUGGCAUCCUCAGUUGGUGGUUUUACAUCGUUAUCACAAAUGUUCUCCUAGAGGUCUUGGCCUUAUAAGUAGGACUCUAUCAAUGUUGCCGAUAUAUUAAAAUUUUUGUUGUUGAGCUCCUGGACUCCUCUAACUACUUGAAGGUCAUCGAUCGUGUUUGUAAGACUUGGAAAUUGCCAAGCAAGCUCGAUCUUCACCAAUGAAUUUGUAGAGUUUCAAACAACUCACAAAUCAACGAAGCCCCAUCAAACGAUCCUCGAUCAUCCUAGCUGCACUCUUAUAGCUUCUCCAUGAUAGUCCUUGACUAUUAGGGAUGACAAUUAAAUUUGGAUCCGGCCCGGAUCCAGAUAUGGAAAUUUGGGGUCCGCAUGGAUCUGAAUUCGGAUUUGGAUGCAAGUGCAUCUAAAAACCGGAUAUCCGGAUUCGGAUGCGGAUAAAUUUUAUUUUAAACUAAAAAUAUAUAUUAAAAAAUAAAUUUUAUUUGUGAAUUUAUGAAGUUGUUGUAUAUUAUUCAUAUUGAAUUAUUAAUUUUUAGAUUAUGAUUUAAUUUUAUUUGAUAUUAUUAGGUAAACUAUUGAUUUUAUUUUAAAUUAAAAACAUAAUAAAAAAUGAAAUAAAAAAUAAAUUUUAUUUAUAGAUUUAUGAGAUUAUUGUCUGUUAUUCAUGUUCAAUUAUUAAUUGUUCAAUUAUGAUUGGAUUUUAUUUGAUAUUAUUAGGUAAAUUAUUGAGUUUUUAAAUUAUAUAUUAAAUUAUUGAAUUUUAAUUUUUGUGGAUCUAGAUGUCCGAAAUAUCAGCCUGCAUCCAUUGCAAAUGUUACCCGUUUUCGGAUUGCAUAUUUUUUUGCAGAUCCGAAUAUAGAAAUAUGAAUUUGGAUCCGGAUUUUGCCAACCUUAUUGACUAUUGUGAAAUUCCCACAACAUUACUACAGUGAUCUCCAACCAACUGCUCUCUAAUACCAAUUGCGGAAGACUAAACUGCAAAAAAAUAAAACUAUUUGUUUAUAAUCUACUAAAUCUAAAGGACUUUAUCAAUAGUCUAUAAGAAAUAUACUAUAACACCCACUGUUUUCUUUUAUUUCUCUCUUCUAAUUCUUCACUCUCCACUUCAAAUUUAAACAAAUAGUACAAGGGAGUAUUUAUAGUAUAUGAGAACAAAUCUAAACCAUUCAAAUAAAAAAUUACAAAAAAUUAAUAGUCAUACAUUUCCACACUUAUCACCAAUAAUAUCACCUACCACUAAUUUUUUUUUCAAUACUCAUGGAGCCUUCUAUAAAUUAGGCUUAUUAAUUUUGGAUUUGGAAGAUGGUGUUGCACUUAUUUUAACAUCUCAGUCAACGUAAUAAACUCAGAACUCAACGAUUUCCAAUGUUCUGAUCUUGUCCAAGAAACUUCAUAUUCUGCCAACGAUUUCCAGUAUUCUGAUCUUAUUGAAAAUCUCAAGGCCUAUGGCGAACAUCAUUGGCAUAGGUGGAAGGCAAUCUUGAAACAAGAUUAUUUCAACAAUCCUUGGGCAUAUAUCUCUAUUAUUGCAGCAGUUGUUCCCCUUAAACUCACUGCCAUACAAGCAAUUUGUUCUAUUGUAGAAUUAUGGGGUUCGGAAAAUGGUUUGCUGGAUCUUCAUGUUUCAAGUAGGUAAUAUGUGUUUAUUAUAUCCACCGUAUUAUGUAAUCAUUUUUUGCUUUAUUCUAUAUACCGACAAUUUGUAAAUACCUUGUGAAUGAAGCUCUCGAACAAAGAAGAAUUAUCAAAUUCAAAGAAUUAAAAAAUUAAAUGAGUGAUUAAUUUAUUUCUUUAUAUCUUCAUGAGAAAGAGAGAGAAAAAAAUGGAAACAAAGAAAUUGGAAAAAAAUACUGAGAAUCAAAGGACAAUGAUUCAGUGUUGAGCUGAGUUUUUACUAAGCACUGAAUCAAUAUUUGUUAGGUAAGAGAAAUUAAAAAAUAAAAAUAAAAUAAAUCUUAACCAUUAAUUCUUUACUUAACAAAAAAUAAGCUCAAUAUUGAAUCCUAACCUAGAAUCAAAAUCGAUAGUAUUUGUGAAAAUAACAAUAAUUGAUUUCUAAAUAUGAGGUUGGCAGUUUUUUAAACAUUUUUUUUGCCUAUAGUUUUUUUAACACUUAUGAUGUUGACAAUCAUAAAGCAUAUUGACAAUUAUAUGGGCACAAAAAGUAACAGUGAUAUUGUUGGUUAAUUUUAUAAGCAAUUAAUAUCAAUGCCAAUGUGCAAGUAUACACAACAAGUAAUAAAGUGAUUAGUAUUCAAGAUCGUCUCCACAAGGAUUGAUGUUACUCAAAAUGCUAAAGCAAUCACAAUAGUGCAACUCAACUUAAAAUCGAAAUAAACAAUUAACAAGCAAAGUCUAUCGUAAUCAAUUAUUGAAACAAGAAUUAAAUAAAAUAAUACCGUAAUGAGAUAACUAGGUUAAGUGUGUCCAAGAUUCUAUUAAAAUUAUGGUAGUUGAAUGAUCAAACUCUCCUUAUGGGGUGACUGUUGUUUAUCAAGUUAGCAUAAGUUGUUAUAACAAGUGCUGCAGCACUGGGCAGAAUAAAUCUGCAUCCUCAGCUAUCGCAUGUUGGACGUCUCAUACCUUUAAAUCUAUUAACAAUGACCAGUUGCUAAUUUAUCUAUGAUACGACAUUAUAACAUUUAAUCUCUCCACCCUACAAGGUGAACACCUAUGUCUAGUGUACCACAAAUCUUAACUUCAAGUAUUGCCCUUAUGGGAUUUAAGAUAACUUAAUCCAGGAAACUUGACUUAAGAUCAAGUAAUACUCUAAUAAUAUCCGUUAAGACAUGCCCUUUUGCUGCUCUAUCUUAACUGAAACUAUUAUAUGGGUGGUCAACCGAAAUAACAGUUAUAUUCAUAAAAACUACUAGAGUAUAAUGCUACAGCAAUGCCAUAACAACAUAUAAGAACAGUCAAGAACCCAUUGGAUUGUUUGUCACUCAACUACAAGUAAAUUUAGUUCAUAAUCUGAUUGAAAAAAGUAAACAGAAAUAUAUUGACCCCGGAAUACAUCCAAACAACUAAAGGAAGAAUAGAAAUAUAAGUUGAGCACGAUGAAAGACAAAUAAUUAUGCACGGUUCUUUAAUGUUGUCGAACAGCACUCCUCAAUCUUGAUCUGCUUCUUCUUGCCUUUGUAAUUGUUUUUUAUGAUAAUUCCUUGCCGCCUUUCUUAUGUGAUGCACGCCUCCUUUUAUAUUGCAAAUUAGGGUAAAAACCAAAGCCCAUGAGAGUGCAUGCAUUUUAAAUUAGGAAACAUGCAGAUCAAGAUUUUAUGACUGACUCGCGCUUUAAGCUUUCUCUCGUAUUGCUCCCAAAUUGCUGCAGCACUGGUUGCUCUAACAUCCGCAACAGCACUGCAUUAUUCCCGAUUGUUCUUUUCUUCUUUUGUGGCCAUCUUCUUUCAUCCUCUUGCUCAUUUAAUGUCUCAGUAUCCCCUCAUGAAUUUAAAACCUACAAUUAUGCACCUGUUUUUAGCACAAAUUACUCUGAUUUAAGCAAAACUUAUUAAGACCCAACUAAAAUGAAUGUUUAUGCAAAAGGUAACCAAAAUGUAAUAAAAACACCUUAUUUGCUCUCUAAAUGAUCUUGAUUCAAGUCUAGAAUUGAUGUAAUAACUCUCAUUUCCUAGAGUUAUCACACCCCCAAACUUAAACUAUUACUUGUCCUCAAGUAAUGACAUAUACAACACUUCACACAAACAAUCAUUCACACAAAUUUAGCUCUUUUAUCAACUUUGCAAGGAUUCUUCCACAUUCAGAUCACAUUCUUAAUCAUGCAAGAUGACCAUAGUAAAUUAGUUCUAGACUUAAGCUUCUUUCUAUCCAUAGUGUGUGUGUGCUCUUUCGAUUGAAUUCUAGAUAUGCUAUAGCAUCACCAAGGAAUUGAAUGAAUUUCAGUAGUGAGUACACUUCAUUCAUAAAUGGGGUAAUCAUAACUUUCACAUACUCAACUGUGAUCAUUUUAGGAUUGACAAACUAGGGAAUAUUUGACCUCCUCACUGUAACAUUUAUCUUUCAUGUGAAUGUCAAUCAAUUGUAAUGAUGACACCCAAUUACUCAAACCAUGCCCAGAUUAGAGUUGUUGCAGCAGUAACUGUAAUGUAAUCUUAUCUAGAAGUAUCUUUUACUCAAGGCUGAACAUGGGGCUUAUGAGCAGACCUGGCUACUCAAUGCCUUAGACAGAGGAUUUUUUUUUAUAUAUAUGUUACAGCAUUGCUCAUAACUCUCGCUACCUUUGAACACAAAUCUGCAUAUGGGGUAUAUACUCAGAUCUGGUUACUCAGCACCUUGAGCCAUUGGAACAGAUUGUAUUUCAUAGAUAUCACAGUUAUUCAAACUUGCUUCCCCCCCCCCCCCAAACUUGGGAUCUUUUCUAUUCUUUUGGCUUUACUCUAACAGUCUCAUACAAUUCAACCAAAGUCUAAGUGUCGGGAUAGAAUUUCACUUUCAUCUAUAACUAUCUCUACUUGGCAUAUAAAUAUUGAAUAGCACUCAAUUUAUCUUCAUUAGAUUUUUAAAUCCAUACACAAAUAUUAGAUAAUAGAGCUCCACACCACACAAACAUAAACACAUGCAUACAAAAUAUAAACAUAUGCAUUCGGGAACACAACCCCCCCAAACUUGAGAGGUGAUGUGUCCUCACAAGCAAACAGAACAAAGGCACACAAACGGACAAGGAUAUGAAAAACCUUAGAAAAUACCACACAAAUUGACAAACAGAAGGUAGAUUUUUUUUUUUGUAAUGAAAACUAGUAAGGAAAGAAAACUCCCCUGGGGUGGGGACUGCAUCACAUGAUGGGAUGCUAUCAGCGCUUCUUGAAUGCACUGCACAACUUAUCCUUUGGUGAAGCGUGGGGGGAAGUAACUGGCAAUGUCUUUGUCUUUUUCUUCACGGGACUGAUGAUAGGAGUUGAGGCUGGGGUUGCUGGAGCAGUGCCUUUCGACGUACUGCCUUUUCUUUCGCUGGAUUGCCGCGGACUGGUGCGAAUAGGCUGGCUAGGAGUUUGUUGUAGCAGUAACAAAUUGAAGCUAAUGUUCCUGAGAGUAAAAUGAGAAAAAGAGGGUAAGAAUUAGGAGAGGUGUACUUGCGAAGGAGAUGGGUAAUAGUAUCGUAGAGCACUAAGCACAGUGACUCAUUUUUAUAGUGGACUUUAAUUGAAGAUAAAUAAGGUAACUAGAGAUAAUUGAGGGAAUAAAAUAUUUUGAAUUAAAUGUGCAAAUCCCAAAAUCAUCGGCCAAUGAAAUUAAAGCUUUAAUUUCGGAGAUUUGUUUCCGCAAUUUCUAUCUAUAUCCAUGCGUCCAUCUGUCACGAUUUUGUCUCCAACGGUAAUUGAAAGGCUCCAGCUUUUAAUUUACUGUAACGGUAAAAUUAGUUGCUGCAGCACCCAUUCGCUUACUUUAACAACGAAUACAUGCUCCAUACUAAAGCUUCUGACACGUGGUUCACCUCUGCAUUCUAUCACCAUGCACUCUCACUUGUCAACAUGGAAUUCAAUUGUCACACAUACUUCUCACAAACUAGAAUUAAUUCUAAAAUUAUUAAAAGAAAUAAAUAGAUUAAAUUAAAGCGAAAAUAAAGAAUGCAAUAAUGUAAAAGGAUAAAAGUAAAUGGCUAACAUAGAAAAAUAGAAUUAAAUAAGAUGGUAAAGAGGAAGAGCUGUCUACAAAACCAAAGAAUAUCAAAGUUGGUUUGAAGUGGCUGUCUCCCCAAUGGGUUGCCUCUCAUGAAGCGCUUAAUUUAAGGUCCUUCAACCUGACCUUCUUUCCUUGGUCAAUAGUUGAGUUCUUCAAGGAGUAACACCUCAUUUGAACAAUCUGCUACUGGAUGUAUGUAGUGCUUAAUCUUGUGGCCAUUAACCUUGAAUUCCUGACCUGUUUGUUCAUCUAGAAGAUCAACAGCUCCAUAAGGAUAAAAUUUGAGUAGCUUAAAUGGGCCAGACCAUCGUGACUUGAGCUUUCCCAGAAAUAAUCGUAGUCUUGUAUUGUGGAGCAACACUGAUUGACCAGGGUUGAAUUUCUUGUACUGAAUAUGCUUGUCGUGCCAUUUUUUUGUCCUCUCUUUAUAGAUUCUUGCAUUUUCAUAUGAAAAUAGCCGUAAUUCAUCAAGCUCACAAAGUUGAAGCUUCCUUUGCUCUGCUGCAGCAUGAAUAUCCCAAUUUAAUUUCUUCAGUGCCCAGUACGCUUUAUGUUCUAACUCUAGUGGCAAAUGACAAGCCUUGCCAUAAACAAUUCGGUAAGGGGACAUGUUGAGUGGAGUUUUAUAUGCUGUUCUGUAAGCCCAUAAAGAGUCAUGUAAGUGUAAAGACCAAUCCUUCCUUGUUGGGAUUACCACUUUUUCUAAGAUCUUUUUAAUUUCUCUGUUGGACACUUCAGCCUAACCAUUGGAUUGUGGGUGAUAUGUUGUAGUUAUCUUGUGUCUGACUCCAUAUUUUACCAUUGCUACAGCAAAGACUUUGUUGCAAAAAUGUGUACCCUCGUCACUAAUAAUUGCUCUAGGAGUGCCAAAUCUGGAAAAAAUAUUUUUCUGAAGAAAAGCCACCACUGUCUUAGCAUCAUUGGUAGGUAAUGCUACAGCUUCUACCCACUUGGAGACAUAAUCCACAGCAACAAGGAUAUAUAAGUUCCCAAAGGAUGGGGGAAAAGGUCCCAUGAAAUCUAUUCCUCAGACAUACAAUACUUCCACUUCCAGGAUGUUGGUCAAUGGCAUUUCAUGUCUUCCAAUUAUGUUCCUUGUCCUUUGACACCUGUCACAACAUUUAACAAAUUCAUAAGCAUCUCUGAAAAUAGUUGGCCAGAAAUAACCUGAUUGUAAUACUUUGGCAGCUGUUCUGUGACCACCAAAAUGUCCUCCAUAUGCUGCAGCAUGACAUGACUCCAGUAUGUGGGGGAUCUCUCCUUCUACAGCACAUCUUCGUAUUACUUGAUCUAGGCACAACUUAUAUAGAUGUGGGUCAUCCCAUUGGUAACUUCUAACAUCAUGAAGAAAUUUCUUUUUCUCUUGAAACUUCAACUCAGGUGGUAAUAACCCACUUACUAAAUAGUUAGCAAAGUCUGCAUACCAUGGAGAUUCUUGCUGCUGCAGCAUCUGUGCUUGUUGUACCACCAACAGCUGUUCAUCAGGAAAAGUUUCAAUGAUGUCUUUCCUUGUCAAUGUGCUUGUGUCUGCUUCCAGCCUUGACAGGUGGUCUGCUACUUGAUUCUCAGUCCCCUUUCUAUCUUUAAUUUUCAGAUCAAAUUCUUGUAGCAAUAAGAUCCAUCUGAUUAAUCUUGGCUUGGCAUCUUUCUUUGAAAUCAAGUAUUUGAUGGCUGCAUAGUCCGUAUAUACAGUCACUCUAGUACCCACCAAGUAGGCUUUGAAUUUGUCAAAAGUAAAUAAUACUACUAGAAAUUCUUUCUCUGUAGUGGUGUAAUUGAUUUAAGUUUGAGUAAGAGUUUUACUUGCAUAGUAUAUGGAGUGAAAAACUUUAUCCCUUUUUUGUCCUAGUACUGCUCCCACAGAAUGGUCACUGGCAUCACACAUCAAUUCAAAUGGUAAAGUCUAGUCUGGAGAUAUGAUGACUGGAGUAGUGAUCAGAGCUUUCUUUAAUUCUCCAAAUGCUUGAUGACACUCUUUGUCAAAGUGAAAGGGCUUAUCGUGUUCCAGCAAUGAGCACAAUGGUUUAGCCACCCUGGAAAAAUCCUUAAUGAAUCUUCUGUAAAAUCCAGCAUGUCCCAAAAAACUCCUGAUACCCUUUACUGAAGUUGGAGGUGGCAAUUUAUCUAUUACUUCUAUCUUGGUUUUGUCUACCUCAAUGCCAUUCUUGGAUAUCUUAUGACCCAACACUAUUCCUUCUUGCACCAUGAAAUUGUAUUUUUCCCAAUUGAGUACUAAGUUGAUCAUCUCACAUCUUUUAAGAACUUCUUCCAGGUUGUGUAAGCCAUCAUUGUAUGUUUUUCCAAAGACUGAGAAGUUAUCCAUGAAAACUUCUAAAGUCUGCUCUACCAUAUCAGAAAAUAUAGACAUCAUGCAUCUCUGAAAGGUUGCUGGAGCAUUACAUAACCCAAAGAGCAUUCUUCUGAAGGCAAAUGUUUCAUAGGGACAAGUAAAUAUAGUUUUCUCCUGAUCCUCAGGAGCUAUAGCAAUCUGGUUGUAGCCUGAAUACCCAUCUAAGAAACAAUAGUAUUGUUUUCCAGCAAGUCUGUCUAACAUCUGGUCUAUGAAUGUCAGUGGAAAAUGGUCUUUCCUUGUGGCUUUGUUUAGCUUCCUGUAAUCCAUACAUACUCUACAGCCAGUCACUGUCCUUGUAGGAAUAAGUUCAUUCUUCUCAUUAACUAUUACUGUUAUGCCUCCCUUCUUCGGAACACAUUGAACUAGGCUCACCCAUGAACUGUCUGAUAUUGGGUAUAUGAUUCCAGCAUCCAACCAUUUGAUGAUUUCCUUCUUCACCACUUUUUUCAUAAUAGGAUUCAACCUUCUCUGGUGCUCAACCGAAUUACUGGAGCAAUCUUCUAACAAGAUUUUAUGCAUGCAUAUUGAUGGGUUUAUCCCCUUUAUGUCAGCUAUAGUCCAUCCAAUUGCUUUUCUCUACUUUCUAAGUAAAUCUACUAGACUAUGUUCUUGACCUGCAUCCAAAGUAGAAGAGAUAAUUACAGGGAGUGUGUUAUUUUUACCAAGAUAAGCAUACUUCAAAUGUGAAGGUAACAGUUUUAAUUCAAGACUAUGAGGUGAUUCAAUAGAUGGUAAAGUUGUUUUUACUUCCCUUUCUGAAAGAUUCAGAUGUUCAAUAAACCUGUUGUGCCUAUCAUAUUGCUUUGCUUCCAUCCAAUUUGACUGAAUUGCUGCAACAUCUUCCUCUUCUACAUCAUCAAAGGUAGUGACUUUGUCAACUGAAUUACUGCAGCAUUUGUUCAUUCUGUCUGCUACAACAAAAUCCACUACACUCAGGAAAUUGCAGUCUUCUACUUCAUCAGGGUUUCUCAUAGCCUCUAGUACAUUAAAUGUAACUUGCUGAUCAUUUACUCUCAUGGUGAGCUCUCCUUUUUGCACAUCUAUCAGGGUCUUUCCAGUUGCUAGAAAAGGUCUUCCAAGUAUAAUGGGUACUUCUUUAUCAGCUUCAAAAUCCGGUGCAAUGAAAUCCACUAGAAAGAUGAAUUUGUCAACCUUCACCAGUACAUCUUCUAUUUUUCCUUCAGGGUAUGUGAUAACUCUAGAAAAUGAGAGUUAUUACAUCAAUUUUAGACUUGAAUCAAGAUCAUUUAGAGAACAAAUAAGGUGUUUUUAUUACAUUUUGAUUACAUUUUGCUUAAACAUUCAUUUUAGUUGAGUAUUAAUAAGUUUUGCUUGAAUCAUAGUAAUUUGUGCUAAAAACAUAUGCAUAAUUGUAGGUUCUUGGAAAGUCUUAAUUCAUGAGGGGAUGUUGAGACAUUAGAUGAGCAAGAGGAGGAAAGAAGACGGCCAUAAAAGAAGAAAAGCACAAUCGGGAGCAAUGCAGUGAUGUUACGGAUGUUAGAGCAACUCGUGCUGUAGCAAUCUGGAAGUAAAUGCGGGAGAAAACUUAGGUGCGGGUCAGCACAUGUUUCCUAAUUUAACGCAUGCACGCUCAUGGGCUUGUGUUUAAUCUAAUUUGCAAUAUAAAAGGGAGGCAAUACCACAAAAAAAGGUUGCAAGGGAAUUAUCAUUAGAAUAAUUACAAAGGAACGAAGAAGAAGAAUAUCAUAAUUUAAGAGUGUUGUUUCGGCAACAUUGGGGAAUCGUGCAGAAUUACUUGGCUUUGAUUUUCACUGUGUCCAACUUAUAUUUAUCUUCUUCCUUUAAUUGUUUUGAUGUAUUCCGAGAUCAAUAUAUUUAUGUUUAUUUUUCUCAUCCAGAUUAUGAACUAAAUUUACUUGUAGUUGAGUGGCAAAUAAUCCAAUAGGUUCUUGACUGUUCUUAUAUGUUGUUAUGGUAUUGCUGUAGCAUUUUACUCUAAUAGUUUUUAUGAAUAUAACUGUUAUUUCGGUUGACCACUCAUUUAAUAGUUUUAGUUAAGAUAGAGCAGCAAAAGGGCAUGUCUUAGUGAAUAUUAUUAGAGUAUUACUUGUUCUUAAGUCAAGUUUCCUGGAUUAGGUUAUCUUGAAUCCCAUAAAGGCAAUACUUGAAGUUAAGAUUUGUGACACUCUAGACAUAGGUGUUCACCUUGUAGAGUAGAGAGAUUAAAGGAUAUAAUGUCGUACCAUAAAUAUAUAAGCAACUGGUCAUUAUUAGUAGAUUUAAAGGUAUGAGACUUCCAACAUGCGAUAGCUGAGGAUGCAGAUUUAUUCUGCCCAAUGCUGCAGCACUUAUUGUAACAACUGGUGCUAAUUUGGUAAACAACAGUCACCCCAUUAGGAGAGUUUGAUCAUUCAACUACUAUAUUCUCAAUUGAAUCUUAGACAUAUUUAACUUAGUUUAUUUCAUUACAGUAUUGUUUUAUUUCCAUCUUUCGCAAUUAUUAAUUACGAUAGAAUUAUUUGACAAUUGUUUGUUUUGGUCUUUAGUUGAUUUGCACUAUUGUGAUUGUUUUAGCAUUUUGAGUAACAUCAAUCCCUGUGGAGACGAUUUUGAAUACUCAUCACUUUAUUACUUGUUGUGUAUACUUUUACAUUGGCAUUGAUAAUAAUUGAUUAUAAAAAUCAAUCAACAGUAUGCAUGAGAUCUGUCAGCUAAUUGCAGAGUGACUGUUGUUGGUCUGCAUUCCCCUACUCCCAACUGCUUAAAUACAAACAAUGGCAUCAGAUUAAUGCUAGCUCCCAAGUCACAAAGUGCUCUGCCAGCAUACCUAGUUCCUAUAGAGCAGGGUAUUGUAAAAUUCCCUGGAUCUUUCACUUUUGUUGGAAUUUUACUCUGGAGCAUAUGACUGCUCUCCUGUGUUAAAACAACAGUUUCAAACUUUCCCAGCCUUCUUUUCCUUACUAAGAUAUCUUUUAGAAACUUCACAUAAUUUGGCAUUUGCUCCAAAGCUUCCACAAAAGGUAUAUUUAUGUGCAAUUGCUUCAGCACUUCCAGAAACUUACUGAAAUGCUUGUCUUGUUUUUGCUUCUGGAACCUUUGUGGGAAAGGUGGUGGAUGUCUAAACUGCUGGGUGGCUUCAGAAGAUAUCACACUUUGUUUGUUUGGUUUGGUGCAGGUUGUGACUACUGGUGUUGCAACUUCUUUUUCAGCAUGUUCUGGUUGAAUUUCCUCUGCAGUUGCUGUAGCUUGGUCCAUGUAAUCAGUGCCUUGAUGGGGAGUUUGUUGUAGCAUGCUUCAAUUUUGGAGUGGUUUUUGUGCUGAAUUGCCUUCCAUUCCAUUUUUAGUCACAUCAACUGAGAUAUCAACAUUCUUUACAGAUCUCAAAUUAAUUACUUUACAGUGUUCUUUGCUCUCUCUCCUAGGGUCUUCUGUGUUGCUAGGUAAGCUUCCUUGAGUUCUGCUGCUCAUUGCUGUGGCUAGUUGUCCAAUUUGGUUUUCCAGGUUUCUCAAGGAUACAACUUGACUCUGCACAAUUGCUUCAUUCUUUGCAAUAUACUCCUUAAUCAGUGCUUCCAGUGAAGUGAUUGGAUCCUGACUGAUAUGCUUUUGCCCUUGACUCUGCUGAUGAAAACUAGGUGGUUGUGUGUUUCUAUUUUGUCCAUUUAAUGCUGGAGCAUUUCGAUUCUGACUGCUCCAUGAGAAAUUUGGGUGUUGUUUCCAGCCAGGGUUGUAAGUUUUCGAAUAUGGGUUGUUCUGAGGUUGUCGAUUGAAGUUACCCACAUAAUUUACUGAAGCUGGAUUUCCAGGACAAUUAUCAAAAUCAUGUUCUUCACCACAAUAUACACAACAAAGUUCAGUAACUUGCUUCACUGUUGCUGGUGCAUAUAUCAUGGCCUUUACCAUGUUAGUCAAUGAAGUUACUUGUGCUGAUAAGGCUGUAAUUGCAUCUAUAUUAUGUACCCCUACUGCUCCUCUUGCUGCUGGUUGCCUGGCUGAAGGCCACUGAUAAUUAUUAUUAGCAAUUCUUUCCAGAAUUUCAUAAGCUUCAGUGUAAGAUUUGGAUAACAGGGCUCCAUUUGCUGAAGCAUCCACCAUCAACAUUGUACUUGAAUUCAACCCAUUGUAGAAAGUUUCCAAUUGAAUGCAACAAGGAAUACCAUGAUGAGGACACCUUCUGAGCAAUUCCUUGAACUUUUCCCAAGCCUCGUACAAACUCUCAUAUUCAAGUUGAUGGAAUGAAGUAAUCUCAUUUCGCAAUUUUGCAUUCUUUAUCGGUGGGAAAUAUUUCAUUAGGAAUUUAUCAGCUAAUUCAUUUCAUGUAGUGAUGGAAUCAGAUGGUAAUAAAUUUAACCAUGCUCUUGCUCGAUCUCUUAAGGAAUAAGGAAAGAGCCUCAGCCUUAAGGCAUCUUGUGCUGCUCCAGCAAUCUUGAAAGCAUCGCUUACUUCCAAGAAUAAUUUAAGAGGGAGGUGAGGAUUGUUGAGUGUUAGAAAAUGUAUAUUUAUACGGUACGGUACUAUUCACGUGUAAGGUACUGUCUACGUUACUGUUCACGAUACUGUUCACGAUACUGUUCACAUAGACGGAUCGAUGAUGUGGCAUUGACCGAUGAUGUGGCAUUGACUAAUGAGGUGUCACGAUCCUGUUGGACUAAAAUUUUAUGUACUGUUGAUGGUGACGUGGCAACAUAUCAGUGGACCAAAAAUCUUGCGUACGGUACAUGCAUCACACAUGAUUAUUUUCAACCAAACCGCGUCACUGUUCAACCCGGGUCAAACUGUGUUACUGUUCAUCCGCGUGGUCAAACCGCGUACUGUUGACUGAUGACGUGGCGCAAUUCUGAGCAUCCAAACUGUUUUUAAUCCGAUGGCCACGAUUUACUUAAUGUAUCUAUAAAAAAGGGGCCUCCCCCCCUAAUUUGAUAGCUCUGAAUCCAUUUUUGGACUCCAUUUUCUGUAAUUCCUUCUCCAUCUUAUAUUUUCUAUGUAUUUUAAUAAAUUCCUAUUUUACCCAUAGUUCAAUUAUGAGUAGCUAAUUUUCUUUCAAGCUUGGGUUGAAGGUGAAGUCUCAACAUGUGUCAUGGGCUUUAUUUGGUAAAUUUAUUUUCUUUUCCCCUCUAAUUUUUGUGGAUGAUUUGACUUUUCGUCGACAAAUAAUAAUAAUCUUGUCUAGAUACCGCCCUGGUUACACCGGCUCCCUAGUACAAGGUUAUUAUUAUUUGGCACGAUAAGCCCUUAGCAUCAUAUUGAUUAGAGUGUGGUUCAUGAGGUGUGGAUUCCCCCCUCAUGAUUUAAUUGGUAUUCAUAAGGAAUAUUUAGCUCAUGAUGCAUGUUGAUACGGAUCCAGAUACCCAAGUACGUCAAUUUAAUAGAUUUUUACUUCAAUUUAUUCUUGCCAUUUCAAUUCCAAUUUUAGGAUAAUCCAAAUCACUUUCACCAAAAAUCCAACUACCCUCAUACAAAAUAAAUUCUACACGCAAUUAAAAUUCAACUCCUCGUGAGAUCGACACUCGUCACCAUUGAUCUAUACUACAAUAGAUUCGUGCACUUGCGAGUUCAAUAAAAUUUGCACAACAAGUUUUUGGCGCCGUUGCCGGGGAGGUAAGUUAUUUUAAUUUGUAAAAUUAAUUUUUGUCAAUAAUUUCUUUUAUUUGUUUUCUUGUAUUUUUUUUCUUAUUAAAAAAAAAGAAAAAAAAAAGUGAAUCUACAUUUAAAGGUUAGUAUUUCUUUUCUUUUUCUCUUCUUUAAAAUUCUGUAAUUUAAUUUUUAAUUUAUUUUUCUUUGUACAUUUUUUUUUGGUUUAUCUUAUUAAUAUUUUUUAGUUAAUUUAUUUCACGUAUUUUUUUAGUGUGUUUUUAUAGAAAGAUUGUAACAGCGUGAUAAGGUUAGUACCGUAAUUUCUCAUUUUUCUUUAUUUUUAUUCGUUUUGUUCCCAUUUAUUUUUUUGCUCUUUGCAUGUAUGGUCGUAGGUUAUUAUUUCCUAAUCUUGAGCCUAUAGACCUUGAACUAGAAAAAACACUUCGCACACACAAGUACGUUAAAAAUAAAUUUAGAAUGGAUUUACAAGCACUACAGGAGAGGCCAUUUAAGGACUACUUCAGUCCUUUAGCUAAUUUGAGCACAUCAUGCAUAAGAUACCCAAAUGUAGCUGCUAGGAGUUUUGAACUAAAACCUAGUGUACUAAAUUGUCUCCCAACAUUCUAUGGCCUAGAAAAUAAGGACCCAUAGAAUCAUUUGAAUGAUUUUCAUGCUAUUUGUCAAACAUUUAAAUAUGAAAAUUUUUCAGAUGAUGAUGUAAAACUUAGACUAUUCCCAUUUUCUUUAAAGGAUAGAGCUCGUUCAUGGCUUAAUACAUUGCCUGCCAAUAGCAUUUCAUCAUGGGAACAAAUGGUAACAAAAUUUUUGAAUAAAUAUUUUCCUGUGCAUAAAACCAAUGCUAUUCGCAGGGAAAUUUCAGAGUUUACCCAGAGAGAAGACGAGCAGUUUUCGAAACAUGAGAGCGAUUCAAUGGGCUACUCUUGAAGUGUCCACAUCAUGAAUAUGAGAAAUGGCAUCAAUGUCAAUACUUUUUUGAGGGAUUAUUGCCGAAUGUGCAAGAAUGACUAAUGGCAACAAGUGGAGGAGAGCUAAUGUCAAAAAGUGCAUCAGAGAUUUGGAAAUUCUUCCAGCGACAAGCGGAUAAUUCCCAACAGCGGAGUCGGUCACUCAGGAAUACUAAAAGAAUCAAAGGAGUGAACGAGGUUCACAUUGGCGAGUCAAGUUCAGAAAUUAAAGAAGUCAAAGCUAUAAUUGAAGGUCUCUCUCAACAAAUAGCAUCGUUAUCGACUGCUAAAUCAACAGAACCACAUGACCAUGACUCAUACUCAGAUCAAGCCAAUGCCAUAGGUGUAAUGAGAAAACCAUCUAAUUACAACCCAUACUCCAACACAUAUAACCCUGGAUGGAGAGACCACCCCAAUUUUCAUGGUCUCAAGGAUUCCAACAGAAUGGACCAGCAGCUCCAGCUCCACCAAUGCAACCAAUUCCUCAAAAUCCUCAAGCCUCACAGCCCCCAUUUAGACCAUUCAAUCAGAACCAGAACUACUCUCAACUCAGACCAUGGGAGGAUUCAUUCCAGAAUCUCAAGAAUGUUACUCACUCUAUGAUUGAGCAACUAAAUCGCACCAUUGAUGGACUACGAAAUGAGUUGAGAGCAAGCUUCAACUCACAAUCCCAAUCAGUUUCAAGCCUCGAGAAGAUGAUGGGACAGCUUGCUUCUUCAGUUCAGACCUUGACAAUGACUGUUGAGAAAGGCAAGUUUCCAAGUCAAGCAGUGUCUAACCCUAAAGGCGUGCAUGAAGUAAGUACCAGUUCACCACAGCAGCAUAGAGAGGUCAAAGCUGUCAUGACCUUGCAAAAAGGAAAAGAAAUCGACAACAAAGUGGAGAUGCCGGUAACAAAAGAAAAUCAAAUUGUACCUGUGAAUGCUGAGGACUCACCACCGGAAGAGAAAGAAGAAACCAACCCACAAGAAUAUGUUCCCAAAGCUCCAUUUCCUCAAAGGUUAGCUAAAGGAAAGAAGAGAAAAUCCACAGGUGAGAUUCUUGAAAUCUUUAAACAGGUAAGUGUUAACAUCCCUUUGCUUGACGUUAUUAAACAAGUUUCAUCUUAUGCCAAGUUUUUUAAAGACCUUUGUACUAAAAAGAGAAACAUUCAUGUUCAAAAAAAGGCAUUUUUAACAGAAAACGUUAGUUCUAUCCUUCAACACAAGAUUCCGCUAAAAUGCAAAGACCCAAGCUCCCCCACUAUCUCAUGUAGCAUAGGGAACCACACAAUUGAGAAUGCUUUAUUGGAUUUAGGAGCUAGUGUAAAUCUGUUGCCUUACUCAGUAUUUUUGAAACUUGGACUUGGAGAAUUACACCCAACUCCAGUGGUGUUACAGCUUGCAGAUCGGUCCACAAAAAUACCUCGUGGUAUUGUGGAGGACGUGCUUAUCCAGGUAGACAAGUUUUAUUUUCCUGCUGAUUUCAUUGUAAUUGACACUCAACCAAUCCAGGAUUCAAGGAAGCACAUCCCCAUUAUUCUAGGCCGACCUUUUUUGGCAACUGCGGAUGCUCACAUUCAAUGCAGGACUAGAAAUAUGCAGUUGUCCUUCGGCAACAUGACUAUGGAGCUGAACAUCUUCAACAUUGCCAAACAACCUCACAAUGCAGAUGAUGGAAUUGUUGAUGUGGAUUUAAUAGAAACAAUAGUUGAUAAUACUUUUCUUUUAAACCUUAGUGAUGAUCCUUUACAAACAUGUUUAACUCACUUUGGUUUGGAUUUUGAUAUUGACAGAUCGGUCGAUGAGGUCAAUGCCCUACUUGACUCAGCACCAUCCAUGGACACUAAUAAAUGGAAGUCAAGAGUUGAACAACUAGCACCAUCAGAAAAGAAACUCAUCCCAUCAUCAGAAUCACCACCGAAACUCGAGCUCAAACCAUUACCCAACACUUUUGAAUAUGCAUUUUUGGGAGAAGAAAGUACUCUACCGGUAAUCAUCUCAUCAUCCCUAAAUGACGAACAAAAAGGUAAGUUGUUGGAUGUUUUAAAAGAGCACAAAGGAGCAUUAGGAUGGACCAUAGCAGACAUUAAAGGUAUAAACCCAGUAGACUGCAUGCAUUACAUUCAUCUUGAUGAAAAUGCUAAACCUACUAGGGAAAUGCAACGUCGGUUAAAUCCUAACAUGAAAGAAGUUAUUAGAACUGAAGUCCUUAAACUAUUAGACGCAGGUAUCAUUUACCCAAUUUCUGAUAGUUCAUGGGUCAGUCAUGUACAAGUUGUCCCUAAAAAGUCAAGAGUCACAGUAGUUACCAAUGCUGAUAAUGAAUUGAUACCAACUAGAGUAACUACAGGAUGGCGUGUAUGCAUUGAUUAUAGAAAAUUGAAUUCUGUCACACGUAAAGACCAUUUUCCUUUACCAUUUAUUGAUCAAAUGCUUGAUAGAUUAGCAGGCCAUGAAUUUUAUUGCUUUCUAGAUGGUUACUCAGGAUAUAAUCAGAUUCCCAUAGCACCAAAAGAUCAAGAGAAGACCACUUUCACUUGCCCUUUUGGCACUUUUGCAUAUAGGAGGAUACCAUUUGGAUUAUGUAAUGCACCUGCUACAUUUCAACGAUGCAUGUUAAGCAUUUUUUCUGAUAUGGUUGAACGAUUCCUUGAAGUCUUUAUGGAUGAUUUUUCUAUCUUUGGUGACUCGUUUGAUCAAUGUUUACAUCAUCUAACACUAGUUCUGCAGAGAUGUAUCGAGAAAAACUUGGUUUUAAAUUGGGAGAAGUGCCAUUUUAUGGUAAAACAAGGUAUUGUUCUCGGUCACAUCAUUUCAAGCAAAGGUAUUGAGGUUGACAAAGCUAAGGUGGAUCUCAUUUCUAAACUUCCUCCACCCAAAACAGUCAGAGAAGUAAGAUCUUUCCUUGGGCAUGCUGGUUUCUAUAGACGUUUCAUUAAAGAUUUUAGCAAAGUUUCUAGACCCUUAUGCAAUCUACUUGCUAAGGAUGCACCUUUUAUCUUUAAUGAUUCAUAUCUUGUGGCGUUUGAAAAAUUACAACAGUUGUUGACAUCAUCACCCAUCAUUCAAGCCCCAAACUGGAGCUUACCAUUUGAACUCAUGUGUGAUGCAUCUGAUUAUGCAGUAGGAGCAGUAUUAGGACAAAGAGUUGAUCGAAUUCCCCAUGUUAUUUACUAUGCUAGUAUGACAUUGAAUGAUGCACAGUUGAACUAUUCAACUACUGAAAAAGAAAUGCUAGCAGUAGUGUUUGCAUUGGAAAAAUUUCGAUCUUAUUUCAUUGGUUGUAAAAUAAUUGUGUUCACAGAUCAUGCUGCUCUUAAAUAUCUUCUCACAAAGAAAGAUGCAAAAGCUAGACUAAUUCGUUGAGUGUUACUGUUGCAGGAGUUCGACUUGGAAUUUAAAGAUAAGAAAUGCACAGAGAAUGUUGUGGCGGACCAUCUCUCUCGCCUCCAUUUUGAUACAAUUAUGGAACCAUUACCAUUGAAUGAGUCAUUUCCAGAUGAACAAUUAAUGAAUGUGGAAGUAUUACCAUGGUAUGCUGAUAUAGUUAAUUAUCUUGUUACAGGUAAACUUCCAUAGCAUUGGACUAAGCAAGACAAGGCUAAAUUCUUUGCAGAAAUAAAGAAUUUCUUUUAGGAUGACCCGUACUUGUUCAAGUAUUGUGCAGAUCAAAUUGUUAGACGAUGUGUCCCAGAAAGUGAAAUUCAAAAUAUCCUUUCAUUCUGCCAUGAACAAGCUUGUGGAGGUCAUUUCAGCGCUAAGAAAACAGCAACUAAAGUUUUACAAUGUGGUUUCUAUUGGCCAACUAUAUUUCGAGAUGCUUACGCUUUCUAUUCUUCAUGUGAUAGGUGUCAACGAAUGGAGAGCAUUACACGAAGGAACAUGAUGCCAUUAAAUCCAAUUUUAGUGGUUGAAAUUUUUUACGUAUGGGUAUCGACUUCAUGGGACCAUUUCCCCCAUCUUUUGGCCAUCAAUACAUAUUGGUUGCUAUUAACUACGUAUCAAAAUGGGUAGAAGCAAUUCCAUGCAGAACCAAUGAUCACAAGGUGGUAAUAGGAUUUUUGAAAAGCAACAUUGUUUCACGCUUUGGAUUCGCUCGAGCUAUAAUCAGUGAUGGUGGUGCCCACUUUUGUAAUAAAGCAUUCAAGGCUCUUUUGACAAAGUAUUCAAUCACUCACAAAGUGGCGACCCCAUAUCAUCCGUAAACCAGUGGCCAAGUUGAGAUCUCCAAUCGAGAAAUAAAGCACAUAUUAGAAAAGACGGUGAGGCCGGACAGAAAAGAUUGGUCAUUAAGACUUGAUGAUGCAUUAUGGGCAUAUAGAACGUCUUUCAAGACCCCGAUUGGGAUGUCACCCUAUAGGCUAGUGUAUAGAAAAGCUUGCCACCUACCUGUGGAACUCAAGUAUCGUGCAUAUUGGGCCAUCAAGAAAUUCAAUUUUGACAUGCAGCAAGCCAGCUCAGAAAGAAGAUUACAGCUGGCAAAACUUGAAGAAAUUCGCAAUGAUGCAUACGAAAAUGCCAAGAUUUACAAGCAACGAAUGAAAGUCUUCCAUGACAAGCAAAUUAUGAGAAAAUCUUUCACUCCAGGUCAGAAAGUGCUUUUGUUUAAUUCUCGCUUGCACCUAUUCCCAGGUAAGUUACGCUCUCGAUGGUCUGGUCCCUUUAUUGUUCAUAUUGUUUUUCCACAUGGGGAAUUGAAAUUAAGGACCCAAAGAACGGUGUCACAUUUAAAGUUAAUGGUCAAAAUUAAACCAUAUCUAGAGUACCAACCACAUGGAGAAGACACCAAAAUAAAUUUGAGUGACCCACCAGAUUUGAAUUAGAUUUUUUUUCUUUUCGGUGGUUUGAUUUUUCUUUCUUUCUUUUUAUUAUUCUUUUGCUAAUUGAAAUUAUUUUUGCAUAAGUGUGUUUGUUUUACCAUUAAGUUUUCUCUUAUCAUUGUUAAUCAAGAGUACCUUACUUAGACCGUUCCUCCUGAACAUUCUUAAACCACUUCAACGUGUUAAAACUCAUCUCAAAAGGCAGAUUCAAUUUUGUAAAACACAUCGUAUUUAGGCUCUGCAACCACCAGAGUUAGUAUCCUAUGUAGAGGGUUUAGAAAGCCAACUCAGAGACAUUGAGAGAAGUGUUUACGACAUCCAAUUGGAGCUUGAGGUAAAUUCAAUAAGAGGACGAUUUUAAUUUUCUUUGUGUGUUUUAAUUUAUUUUUCUGUUUGUGUGCUUUAGUUUGUUACCUCGGUGAAGUGGCAGAUAACGGUACUCCAUGACAAUCAAGUCGGUUACUUCAAUUUUCCCAUAAUAACUGAUAUUCUGAGGUGAAGGUAUAGACAGAAAUGAGAUUCUAGCGAAGCUUCACAAGUGAUUCCCUUCACUUCCUCAGAAUGCCCUCCUUAAUCUAUAAAGCCCGAUCCGAACGCAUGCGAUUGCUCAUGAGGAAUAACAUACCUGUGGACAUCCGUUGGUUAAUCGAGGCUAAAGUACGAUUGGCAGGUGAGUUACCUCCAAAAUUUAUUGCAUACAUGCCUGGUUGUGGUAAAGGAAAUUAUGCAAGAAAACGACGAGCUCGAAGAAUUUCUGUUGCUUGUCAUAAGUGUGCCAGAAUGAGUUGCGAUAAAAACCCAUGUUCUUUAGGAAUGGUGUCUGAUAAUAGGGAAGAUAAGAUUCAAUUCAUUAGGGAUGGCUUGAAUAAGGAGUCAUUGGAUGAUAUUUUUUUGUCUCUUGAAACGCAUCCCAGUGGAUAUGUGCAAGGAGCGAUUCUCCAAUUAUGGCCAUACACGAUAUAGUCUCGGGAAUCUGGCUGUAAACGACCCUGUUUGUCAGUUUAUAAAAAAACUGGAUGGGAAGCCCAUCCUCGACCCAUAGAGGGCGUUCAAGCCGUUUCUGGACGUAAAACCAGAGGAAGAUGUGAGCCACAGUCGCAACUACCUGUAAAUAUCUUUUUACUUCACUGUUAUUUUCUUUCACUGUUGUUUUAUCUUUUCCAUUAUUGUCUUUAAUAAUUUUAUCAUUGUUUCUUUUUCUUUUUACUGUUUCCUUUUUGACUCGCGAGCCAUGUGCUUUACGUGUUAUUUAACACUGACAUGCCACCUCAUACACAGUUGUGACCCACUGUCACCAAGAUUCUUAAAUAUGACUUUUUGUUAAGCACUCACAAAUUGUUUUUGAGAAAUAUUCCAAUGGCAGCUACUCCCAAUAGACAAUUCAAGAACGUUUGUGUGCUUUCUAGAUUUACCUAUGGCAAACAUAAAGAGUUCGUUGAUGCAGCCAUAGAUCUUGGUCGAAGCAUAGCAGAGAGAAAAUUACACUUGGUGUAUGGAGGAGGUAACCGAGGGUUAUCAAAAUUGGUCUCAGAAGCUGCUUUUGUCAGAGGAAGCCAAGUGUUAGGCAUCAUCCCAAGAGCUCUAAAACCUUUAGGCAGUUUGUCUGACUCAUCGACUGGAGAAGAGUUAGUCGUCUCAGGUAUGCAAAAAAGAAUAACUGAAAUGCUUAAUCAUGCUGAUGCUUUUGUUUUCCUUCCAGGAGAUCUUACAACAUUAGAGGCACUUAUCACACUAGCAUCUUGGGCCCAUCUGCACAUUCACCAGAAACCCAUCGGUUUGUUAAAUGUCAAUAACUUUUAUGAUGGCUUCAUCGCAUUUCUUAACCAUGCAAUAAAAAACUAUUUCGUUCCUUCCAAUGCGAAAAAGCUUUUUAUUUGUGCUCACACUGCUAAUGAGCUACUUGAUAUGUUACAAGCUUAUAGACCGGAGCCAGACCCUUGGACCUUUGUGUUGGAGCGUCCAAAUAAUGAUGGUAACAGUAGCCGCAGUAAGAAGUACAAAUUAGAUUUAACUCUCCGCCUGUAAAUAUUUUCUUCUGUGUUACACCACUCAGGUGAUGUCUUCUAAACUCUACUUCUUUCCUUUAAACAUUGAGGACAAUGUUUCGUUCUAGUUGGGGGGAGGGAAUAGUCGACAAUUGUGGAAUUUUGGUUAAGUUUUUACUAAUUUUUUGUUGUAGAAACUAACUAUUGCUAACUUUUUGUGUUGAAGAUGGCUGAAUAUGGAGUGUAGUGACUCUAGAAACGCAUCUUCAUCGUUUGAAAAAAAAAUUCAAAAAAAAUUUCAGACAUUUUCUGUUACUUUAUUAAGUUUUGAUGUUCAUUUUUCUUCUUCCUUUUAAUUUCUCCUUUAUAAAUAUACAUUUUCAAAUAUUUGAGUCGAAGAUGGCUGAAUAUGGAGUGUAGUGCCUCUAGAAACGCAUCUUCUUAGUUAAAAAUAAAAAAAAAAUUUUUAUCAUUUUAAGUGUAACUUUUCUAAUUAAUUUUUCUGCAUCAUUUUCACAUUUCUGCAUGCAUAUUUUCCUUUCAUGUUUAGAAUAGGUUGGGGGGUAGAAUGUUGUUUAAAAAAAAAAUUAGUGAUUUGUUUUAACAUUGGAUGACAUGAUUAAUUUCAAGUUUUAGUAUUUGUAUUAUCUUUGGUCUUAAGUGAUGUUACGCUAUGUUUGCUACUUUACAUGUUGAUGUCGGAGACAAAUAUGAGUUGCUUGAAGGAAUGAACAUGUCAUAAAAUGAGAGUUACAAUUGGGAGCAAUGCAGUACAUCUUCUAUUUUUCCUUCAGGGUAUGUGAUAACUCUAAAAAAUGAGAGUUAUUAUAUCAAUUUUAGACUUGAAUCAAGAUCAUUUAGAGAACAAAUAAGGUGUUUUUAUUACAUUUUGAUUACAUUUUGCUUAAACAUUCAUUUUAGUUGAGUAUUAAUAAGUUUUGCUUGAAUCAUAGUAAUUUGUGCUAAAAACAUAUGCAUAAUUGUAGGUUCUUGGAAAGUCUUAAUUCAUGAGGGAAUGUUGAGAUAUUAGAUGAGCAAGAGGAGGAAAGAAGACGGCCAUAAAAGAAGAAAAGCACAAUCGGGAGCAAUGCAGUGUUGUUGCGGAUGUUAGAGCAACUCGUGCUGUAGCAAUCUGGAAGUAAAUGCGGGAGAAAACUUAGGUGCGGGUCAGCACAUGUUUCCUAAUUUAACGCGUGCACGCUCAUGGGCUUGUGUUUAACCUAAUUUGCAAUAUAAAAGGGAGGCAAUACCACAAAAAAAGGCUGCAAGGGAAUUAUCAUUAGAAUAAUUACAAAGGAACGAAGAAGAAGAAGAUCAGAAUUUAAGAGUGUUGUUUCGGCAACAUUGGGGAAUCGUGCAGAAUUACUUGGCUUUGAUUUUCACCGUGUCCAACUUAUAUUUAUCUUCUUCCUUUAAUUGUUUUGAUGUAUUCCGAGAUCAAUAUAUUUAUGUUUAUUUUUCUCAUCCAGAUUAUGAACUAAAUUUACUUGUAGUUGAGUGACAAAUAAUCCAAUGGGUUCUUGACUGUUCUUAUAUGUUGUUAUGGUAUUGUUGUAGCAUUUUACUCUAAUAGUUUUUAUUAAUAUAACUGUUAUUUCGGUUGACCACCCAUUUAAUAGUUUUAGUUAAGAUAGAGCAGCAAAAGGGCAUGUCUUAGCGAACAUUAUUAGAGUAUUACUUGUUCUUAAGUCAAGUUUCCUGGAUUAGGUUAUCUUGAAUCCCAUAAGGGCAAUACUUGAAGUUAAGAUUUGUGACACUCUAGACAUAGGUGUUCACCUUGUAGGGUAGAGAGAUUAAAGGAUAUAAUGUCGUACCAUAAAUAUAUAAGCAACUGGUCAUUAUUAGUAGAUUUAAAGGUAUGAGACUUCCAACAUGCGAUAGCUGAGGAUGCAGACUUAUUCUGCCCAAUGCUGCAGCACUUAUUGUAACAACUGGUGCUAAUUUGGUAAACAACAGUCACCCCAUUAGGAGAGUUUGAUCAUUCAACUACUAUAUUCUCAAUUGAAUCUUAGACAUAUUUAACUUAGUUUAUUUCAUUACAGUAUUGUUUUAUUUCCAUCUUUCGCAAUUAUUAAUUAUGAUAGAAUUAUUUGACAAUUGUUUGUUUUGGUCUUUAGUUGAUUUGCACUAUUGUGAUUGUUUUAGCAUUUUGAGUAACAUCAAUCCCUGUGGAGACGAUCUUGAAUACUCAUCACUUUAUUACUUGUUGUGUAUACUUGCACAUUGGCAUUGAUAAUAAUUGAUUACAAAAAUCAAUCAACAGUAUGCAUGAGAUCUGUCAGCUAAUUGCAGAGUGACUGUUGUUGGUCUGCAUUCCCCUACUCCCAACUGCUUAAAUACAAACAAUGGCAUCAGAUUAAUGCUAGCUCCCAAGUCACAAAGUGCUCUGCCAGCAUACCUAGUUCCUAUAGAGCAGGGUAUUGUAAAAUUCCCUGGAUCUUUCACUUUUGUUGGAAUUUUACUCUGGAGCAUAUGACUGCUCUCCUGUGUUAAAACAACAGUUUCAAACUCUCCCAGCCUUCUUUUCCUUACUAAGAUAUCUUUUAGAAACUUCACAUAAUUUGGCAUUUGCUCCAAAGCUUCCACAAAAGGUAUAUUUAUGUGCAAUUGCUUCAGCACUUCCAGAAAUUUACUGAAAUGCUUGUCUUGUUUUUGCUUCUGGAAACUUUGUGGGAAAGGUGGUGGAUGUCUAAACUGCUGGGUGGCUUCAGGAGAUGUCACACUUUGUUUGUUUGGUUUGGUGCAGGUUGUGACUACUGGUGUUGCAACUUCUUUUUCAGCAUGUUCUGGUUGAAUUUCCUUUGCAGUUGCUGUAGCUUGGUCCAUGUAAUCAGUGCCUUGAUGGGGAGUUUGUUGUAGCAUGCUUCAAUUUUGGAGUGGUUUUUGUGCUGAAUUGCCUUCCAUUCCAUUUUUGGUCACAUCAACUGAGAUAUCAACAUUCUUUCCAGAUCUCAAAUUAAUUACUUUACAGUGUUCUUUGCUCUCUCUCCUAGGGUCUUCUGUGUUGCUAGGUAAGCUUCCUUGAGUUCUGCUGCUCAUUGCUGUGGCUAGUUGUCCAAUUUGGUUUUCCAGGUUUCUCAAGGAUACAGCUUGACUCUGCACAAUUGCUUCAUUCUUUGCAAUAUACUUCUUAAUCAGUGCUUCCAGUGAAGUGAUUGGAUCCUGACUGAUAUGUUUUUGCCCUUGACUCUGCUGAUGAAAACUAGGUGGUUGUGUGUUUUUAUUUUGUCCAUUUAAUGCUGGAGCAUUUCGAUUCUGACUGCUCCAUGAGAAAUUUGGGUGUUGUUUCCAGCCAGGGUUGUAAGUUUUCGAAUAUGGGUUGUUCUGAGGUUGUCGAUUGAAGUUACCCACAUAAUUUACUGAAGCUGGAUUUCCAGGACAAUUAUCAAAAUCAUGUUCUUCACCACAGUAUACAUAAGAAAGUUCAGUAACUUGCUUCACUGUUGCUGGAGCAUAUGUCAUGGCCUUUACCAUGUUAGUCAAUGAAGUUCCUUGUGAUGAUAAGGCUGUAAUUGCAUCUAUGUUAUGUACCCCUACUGCUCCUCUUGCUGCUGGUUCCUGGCUGAAGGCCAAUGAUAAUUAUUAUUAGCAAUUCUUUCCAGAAUUUCAUAAGCUUCAGUGUAAGAUUUGGAUAACAGGGCUCCAUUUGCUGAAGCAUCCACCAUCAACCUUGUACUCGAAUUUAACCCAUUGUAGAAAGUUUCCAAUUAAAUGCAACAAGGAAUACCAUGAUGAUGACACCUUCCGAGCAAUUCCUUGAACUUUUCCCAAGCCUCGUACAAACUCUCAUAUUCAAGUUGAUGGAAUGAAGUAAUCUCAAUUCGAAAUUUUGCAUUCUUUAUCGGUGGGAAAUAUUUCAUUAAGAAUUUAUCAGCUAAUUCAUUCCAUGUAGUGAUGGAAUCAGAUGGUAAUGAAUUUAACCAUGCUCUUGCUCGAUCUCUUAAGGAAUAAGGAAAGAGCCUCAGCCUUAAGGCAUCUUGUGCUGCUCCAGCAAUCUUGAAAGCAUCGCUUACUUCCAAGAAUAAUUUAAGAGGGAGGUGAGGAUUGUUGAGUGUUAGAAAAUGUAUAUUUAUAAAGGAGAAAAACGUCAUUUUACACUUCAAAUUUUACUAACACCCUUACUUUUAUGUAUUUAACCUUCUUUUGAUUUAAUUCCGUGUGUUUUAUUUUAAUUAAGUAUUUUAUGUAUUUUAGGGGCAUCAUAGUCAUUUCACAAUAAACGAGAGAUCAGACGGAAAAACGGACAUCACUUUUGAACUCAAGACGGUCAAAAACCUUAGGAGGAGCAUAAAAUGAAAAAUGGCACUGUUCACAUAUACGGUACUAUUUACAUGUACGGUAUUGUCUACGUUACUGUUCACGAUACUGUUCACAUAGACGGAUCGAUGAUGUGGCAUUGACAUAUGAUGUGGCAUUGACUGAUGAGGUGUCACGAUCCUAUUGGACUAAAAUUUUAUGUAUUGUUGAUGGUGACGUGGCAACAUAUCAGUGGACCAAAAAUCUCGCUUACGGUACAUGCAUCACAUAGGAUUAUUUUCAACAAAACUGCGUCACUGUUCAACCCGGGUCAAACCGUGUUACUGUUCAUCCGCGUGGUCAAACCGCGUACUGUUGACUGAUGACGUGGCGCAAUCCUGAGCGUCCAAACUGUUUUUAAUCCGAUGGCCACAAUUUACUCAAUGUAUCUAUAAAAAAAGGGACUUCCCCCCCCCCUAAUUUGAUAGCUCUGAAUCCAUUUUUGGACUCCAUUUUCUGUAAUUCCUUCUCCAUCUUGUAUUUUCUAUGUAUUUUAAUAAAUUCUCAUUUUGCCCAUAGUUCAAUUAUGAGUAGCUAAUUUUCUUUCAAGCUUGGGUUGAAGGUGAAGUCUCAACAUGUGUCAUGGGCUUUAUUUGGUAAAUUUAUUUUCUUUUCCCCUUUAGUUUUUGUGGAUGAUUUGACUUUUCGUCGACAAAUAAUAAUAAUCUUGUCUAGAUACCGCCCUGGUUACACCGGCUCCCUAGUACAAGGUUAUUAUUAUUUAGCACGAUAAGCCCUUAGCACCGUAUUGAUUAGAGUGUUGUUCUUGAGGUGUGGAUUCCCCCCUCAUGAUUUAAUUGGUAUUAAUAAGGAAUAUUUAGCCCAUGAUGCAUGUUGAUACGAAUCCAGAUACUCAAGUACGUCAAUUUAAUAGAUUUUCACUUCAAUUUAUUCUUGCCAUUUCAAUUCCAAUUUUAGGAUAAUCCAAAUCACUUUCACCAAAAAUCCAACUACCCUCAUACAAAAUUAAUUCUACACACAAUUAAAAUUCACCUCCUCGUGGGAUCGACACUCGUCACCAUUGAUCUAUACUACAAUAGAUUCGUGCACUUGCGAGUUCAAUAAAAUUUGCACAACAAGGAUCCUCAUUUGGUAAUCCAUUGAAUUGACCAACUGUUUGCAACAUUUGAAACAUCACUAGCUUCAACUCAAAAUUUGCAGCUUCUACUUCAGGUCUGAUGAUGCCAGGGUGUACAACUUGAGGAGUUAACACAGCAUAAUCUCUUAUAGCUCUGUCUCUGUCAUCAGCCAUGUAAAUAAUAUUGUUGCCUGGUUGUCUCCCGUUAGCAUGUUCAUUCUGCUCUUCUUGAAUAUUGACUGGUUGUACGGGCCCGUGAGGAUUCAAAUUUCCUGCAUCCUGCAAAUUAUUCAUGCUUGAAGCAAUUUCUGAAUUCCUUUGUUCUCUUCGCAAUCUCCUAACAGUCCUUUCAAUUUCAGGAUCGAAUUGGAAUACCACAGAUCUGUCUUUGCGCAUGCUUGUACCAAUCUGCCAAUAAAUAGAAUGAAUCAAAUUAAAUUUGGCGCUAUCAAGAUUUACUUCACACUUUAAAAAUAAACAAUCAAUCCCCGGCAACUGCGCCAAAAACUUGUUGGUUAAUUUUAUAAGCAAUUAAUAUCAAUGCCAAUGUGCAAGUAUACACAACAAGUAAUAAAUUUAUUAGUAUUCAAGAUCGUCUCCACAGGGAUUAAUGUUACUCAAAAUGCUAAAGCAAUCACAAUAGUGCAACUCAAUUUAAAAUCGAAAUAAACAAUUAACAAGCAAAGUCUAUCGUAAUCAAUUAUUGAAACAAGAAUUAAAUAAAACAAUACCGUAAUGAGAUAACUAGGUUAAGUGUGUCCAAGAUUCUAUUGAAAUUAUGGUAGUUGAAUUAUCAAACUCUCCUUAUGGGAUGACUGUUGUUUAUCAAGUUAGCAUCAGUUGUUAUAACAAGUGCUGCAGCACUGGGCAGAAUAAAUCUGCAUCCUCAGCUAUCGAUGUUGGACGUCUCAUACUUUUAAAUCUAUUAACAAUGACCAGUUGCUAAUAUAUCUAUGAUACGGCAUUAUAACCUUUAAUCUCUCCACCCUACAAGGUGAACACCUAUGUCUAGUGUGUCACAAAUCUUAACUUCAAGUAUUGCCCUUAUGGGAUUUAAGAUAACUUAAUCUAGGAAACUUGACUUAAGAUCAAGUAAUACUCUAAUAAUAUCCGCUAAGACAUGCCCUUUUGCUGCUCUAUCUUAACUGAAACUAUUAUAUGGGUGGUCAACCGAAAUAACAGUUAUAUUUAUAAAAACUACUAGAGUAUAAUGCUACAGCAAUGCCAUAACAACAUAUAAGAACAGUCAAGAACCCAUUGGAUUGUUUGUCACUCAACUACAAGUAAAUUUAGUUCAUAAUCUAAUUGAGAAAAGUAAACAUAAAUAUAUUGACCCCGGAAUACAUCCAAACAACUAAAGGAAGAAGAGAAAUAUAAGUUGAGCACGAUGAAAGACAAAUAAUUCUGCACGGUUCUUUAAUGUUGUCGAACAACACUCCUCAAUCUUGAUCUGCUUCUUCUUGCCUUUAUAAUUGUUUUUUAUGAUAAUUUCUUGCUGCCUUUUUUAUGUGAUGCACGCCUUCUUUUAUAUUGCAAAUUAGGGUAAAAACCAAAGCCCAUGAGCGUACAUGCGUUUUAAAUUAGGAAACAUGCAGAUCGCGAUUUUAUGGCUGACCCGCGCUUUAAGCUUUCUCCCGUAUUACUCCCAGAUUGCUGCAGCACUGGUUGCACUAACAUCCGCAACAGCACUGCAUUAUUCCCGAUUAUUCUUUUCUUUUUUUGUAGCCAUCUUCUUUCAUCCUCUUGCUCAUCUAAUGUCUCAGUAUCCCCUCAUGAAUUUAAAACCUACAAUUAUGCACCUGUUUUUAGCACAAAUUACUCUGAUUUAAACAAAACUUAUUAAGACCUAACUAAAAUGAAUGAUUAUGCAAAAGGUAACCAAAAUGUAAUAAAAACACCUUAUUUGCUCUCUAAAUGAUCUUGAUUCAAGUCUAGAAUUGAUGUAAUAAUUCUCAUUUCCUAGAGUUAUAUCAGAUAUAUACAUAAAAUAGCAUAUCAUCACUAAAAACAAAAAUAAAAUAAAAUAAAAUAAACUACGUGAUUAAAAAAAUUCAUUCUUAUUUUUAUGCAUUAAAAAUCCAAUAUAUUAUUUUCUACAGGAACAAUAUAUCGUUUCUUGACAGGCUUGCAACAUUCAAGAGUAUUAUGAUUUGCUUUCGUCGAUGCACAACGUAAGCAAACAAACAAGCGCUUCAUUGUAUCCUUGAGGUGUAUUUGCUUAACCCAUGUGCAUCACUUAAUUGGUGGGGCCAAAUAACAUCUUAAGGAAAGCGACAUUUGUAAUGUGUCUUAAAGUACACGUUAUUUUCUGUAAUUUACCUAUUAUUAUUAUUUUUAUUAUUUUCUUCCUACAUACAGAGUUGUAAACACAUUACUUUACACAACAAAGUUUUCACCAUUAUUGUUGUAUUUCUCUACAUUUUUCAUUCCCCACAAAUACAUACCACCAACAAUCUUAAGACAUUAUUUCUACAACAGUGGCACAAAGUUUCACACAUAACUUUAUUCGUUGGCAGAAAAAGUUGCAUUUCUUGUUGGCAAGCCUCAAUGUGGUCUAUGUUCUCACAACACCAAAGCCCCAAGGACGUGAGGAUGAGACAUUACCAAAAACCAGAGUGUGGCAGAAGUGGGAGCAAGAUGACUACAUGUGCAAGGGACACAUUUGCAAUGCAUGCCAUGUCUGAUACUUUGUUUGAUCAAUACCAUAACAAAUCCACAACAAAAGAAAUAUGGAACUCAUUAGAAGCUAAGUACAUGAUGGAAAAUGCCACAAGUAAGAAAUUCUUGGCUUCUAAAUUUUUUAAUUAUAAAAUGGUCGAUAAUAGACUUGUGGUUGAACAAUAUAAUGAGAUUUUGCAUAUUUUUAAUCAAUUCAACCAACACAACAUGAAAAUGGAUGAGUCUAUUAUUGUCUCUUCAAUUAUUGAUAAAUUUCCUCCCUCUUAGAAAGACUAUAAGAAAAGUCUUAAACACAUCAAAAAGGAAAUUAGUCUGGAAGGCUUAGGCCAAAGUCUUCGCAUUGAAGAGAAACUCAAGCUUAAUAGUCUUGAGGACUAGGCUGCUAUGUCCUUUAAAAUUAAUGUUGUAGAGGAAAGGAAGGAGUAUAAGCAUUUUAAUCACCUUAAGAAUAACCAAAAGAGAAAGUUUGAUUCCAAAGAGAAUAAAGUAAUAAGAAGAAAAAGAAGGGUACAUGCCACCACUGCAGAAAACCUGGCCACUUCAAAAGAGAUUGUCGACUUCUGAAGAAGCAAAAAGAAGUUUCGAACACAAAUUUUGUGGCCAUGAUAUCUAAGAUUAAUGUUCUUAAAUAUGAUAAUGCAUGGUAGAUAGAUUCUGGUGCAACCAAGCAUGUAUGCAAAGAUCAUAGCCUUUUCAAAUCCUAUAAAGCAAUGGAUGAUAGAAGUGUUCUUUACAUGGGAAAUUCCUCCACUGCAAUAGUUAAAGGAAAAGGCAAUGUGCAACUAGAGUUUACUUCUGGAAGAACCUUAACUCUUAUUUAUGUUUAUCAUGUUCCUGAAGUUAGGAAAAAUCUUGUAUCUGGUAGCCUUCUUAAUAAGUUUGGCUUCAAACUUGUUUUUGAGUCAAACAAAUUUAUAUUAUCUAAGGGUGGUACAUUUGUUGGGAAAGGAUACAAAUAUGAGGAAAUGUAUAAACUCAAUAUCAAUAAUAUGAAUGUUUCUUCUGCUUAUAUGGUUGACUCAUUAUCUUUGUGGCAUAAUUGUUUAGGACAUGUGAAUAUUAGAAGAUUGAAUGAUAUGGCUAAUUUAGAAUUAAUUCCUAAGCAUGAAAAUAGUAUGCAUAAAAAAUGUAAAGUUUAUGCACAGACUAAAAUCACAAGAACUCUUUUUCCAAAAUUGAAAAAUGAUCUUCUUUAUUGCAUUUAAUUCACAGUGAUGUAUGUGAUAUGCAUAGUAUUCCUACUAAAAGUGGCAAAAAAAUACUUUGUAACAUUUAUUGAUGAUGUUUCAAAAUAUUGCUAUGUGUAUUUAUUAUAUUCUAAAGAUUAAGUGUUAGAUAAAUUUAAAAUUUAUAAAAAUGAAGUUGAGAAUUUUUGUGACACUAAAAUUAAACGUCUUACGAGUGAUAAAGGAGGUGAAUAUGUUUUUUCUGAAUUUUGUGAAUUUGUUGGAGUUGUAUAUGAAACUAGCACUGCAUAUACUCCACAACAAAAUGAUGUAACUGAAAAGAAAAAUAGGACAUUAAUAAAAAUGGUAAAUGCUAUGUUUUUUAAUGCUGAGCUUGGUAAAAGUUUUUGGGGUGAAGCUAUUUUAACUGCAUGUCAUAUUUUAAAUAGAGUGCCUAAUAAGAAAAAAAAAUGACCCCUUAUGAAUUAUGAAAAAAGAGAAAGUUUAAUCUUUCUUAUCUAAGAGUUUGAGGUUGUCGAGUCAUUGUAAGACUACCUGAAUCUAAGAUAAAGAAAUUAGGAGAAAAGGGCAUUGAAUGCAUAUUCUUGGGGUAUGUUGAGCAUAGUAAAGUUUAUAGGUUUCUUGUAACAUAACUUAAUAGCUUUGUUGAGAUCAAUACUAUAGUGGAAUCUAGAGAUGCAAUAUUAUAUAAAAAUAGAUUUUUCGCUAUACCAAAAAGUAUUGAUUCUCAAGAAAAUGAUAAACAAAUAGCAAUUGGUCAAAAGUGUGAUGAUAAUAAUGAGCAAAAUCAAUUGAAAAGAAGUAAAAGAAUAAGCAAUAUAAAAUCCUUUAGACCAGAUUUUAUACUCUAUUUAGUUGAAGAGACAAUAGACUCACAAUCAAAACAAACCAUGAUCACACCUACUAUAUAGUCUGAUCCCCUCACCUACGAGGAGGCAAUAAAGUCUCAAGAUGCUGCUUUUUAAAAAGAGACCAUUAAUGAUAAAAUGCACUCUAUUAUGGGCAAUAAGACUUGGAAAUUAGUUGAUUUAUCAUUUGUCUCUAAUCCUAUAGGUUGUAACUGGGUUUUCAAAAAGAAUAAGAAAGUUUAUGAAACAAUUGAAGGAUUUAAAGUAAUACUAAUAGCGAAAGGCUUACACAAAAAGAAGGCCUUGAUUAUUUCGAUACUUAUGCACCUGUUGCAAGAAUUGCUACUAUUAGAGUCUUGAUUGCUUUGACUUCAAUUUAUCAUUUUGAAAUCUAUCAAAUGGAUGUAAAAAUAACUUUCUUAAAUGGAGAAUUAUAUGAAGAAAUUUAAAUAAAACAACCAAAAGGGUUUUUCAUGCUAGGACAAGAACAUAAAGUUUGUAAACUAGUCAAGUCUUUAUAUGGCCUUAAACAAGCUCCAAAGCAGUGGCAUGAAAAGUUUGACAAAGUGAUUAUUUCAAAUGGAUUUAAUAUUCAUGAGUUUGAUAAAUGUGUAUAUAGCAGAUUCAAUGGAAAUAAAGGUGUGAUUAUUUGUUUAUAUGUAGAUUGUCAUGUUAAUUUUUGGUACUGAUAAUAAGAGUAUUAAACUCACUAAAUCAUUAUUGUCAUCUAAUUUUGAUAUGAAAGACAUUGGGCUUGUGGAUUUAAUUUUGGGGAUUAAAAUUAUCAAAAAUAAGCAUGGCCUAGUAUUGACCCAAUCACAUUAUAUUGAGAAAAUUUUAAAGAAAUUUAAUUAUUAUGAUUGUAAGCCUAUGUCAACACCUUUUACUUCAAACAUAAGAUUGUACCUUAACACCAGCAGAGCAGUAUCCCAAUUAGAAUAUAUGUGUGUUAUUGGGUGUCUUAUGUAUGUGGUGACUUGUACUAGGCCUAACAUUACUUUCGUUGUGGAAAGGCUGAGUAGAUAUACUAGUAAUCCAAGCCAAGCACACUGGCAAGCAGUGUACAAAAUUGUAAAAUACUUAAAACAUACAAUAGAUUAUGGUAUAUGUUACACUGGAUAUCCUUCAGUUUUAGAAGAAUUUUCAGAUGCUAGUUGGAUUACUGAUCAAAAUGAUCAUAUAUCCACAAGUAGUUGGAUUUUUAAUAUUGGUGGAGGAGUUAUUUCAUAGGGCUCAAAGAAGCAAACUUGUAUAGCAGACUCCAUCAUGACUGCAGAACUUGUAGCUUUGGCUUCAUGUUGCAAGGAAGCUGAAUGGUUAAGGAAUUUGCUUAUAGAAAUUCCUAUUUGGCCUAAACCAAUGCCUCAUGUAUCCAUUCACUGUGAUAGUGAGACAACUUUGUCAAGGGCAUAUAGUCAAAUCUAUAAUAGAAAGUCUAGGCACAUUGGUCUAAAAUAUAGUUAUGUGAGACAAUUAUUUACAGAUGGAGUAAUCAUAAUUGACUUUGUGAAAUCAUGCCAAAAUUUUUCAGACCCCUUAACUAAAGGUCUUGCAAGGGAUAUUGUAUUAAAAACUUCUAAAGGGAUGGGACCGAAGCCAGCAUCAUCUUAUCAACAAUUAUGGAAACUCAACCCAACACUUGAAAUAUCAAGAUCUUGGGUCAAUGAGCAAAAGUAUAUCAUAUUUUGUGAUAGCCACAAGCACUAUAAUAUUUUAAAAUGUGUUCCAAAGGUCAGUGCUUGAUACCUAUAAUAUAUAGGAAAUGUUAAGCUACUUAGCUUUUAAUUGACUUAUAAAUGUUUUAGUUACAGGGACAUUCUAAAUAAAUCUACCUAUGCGAGUGUAGGAGGUGGUGCCGCUUCCUAUGUAACUUGGCUGGUUACUAAAGUGCUCAUGAAAACAAGAUAUAGACACGGGGCUAAUCCAAGUGUCGGCUAAAGAAUACUGAGAAUUUGAAAAGUUAUGUGUGAGAUAUAUCUGAUUAGUAUAUUAAGGUUGUUGGUUCAAAGCUUGCCUACCAUGCCACCUUAAUUAACUUUGAUGUGUUGUCACUAAGUGAAGGUUCAAGUCCAAAAGACACCUUCAUCUGUGCAUAAAUUUUCCAAGCAUGUGCGAGAUAAUUUUUCAAAAUUCAUUUAUUUUGAAAAUUGUGGGGGAUUAUUGGAAAAAAUUUCAAAAUAAAUGGUGUUUUAUUGUAAAGACAUGUCUAAAUAAAAAAAAAUGUCUUACUGUAAAGACAUGUCUAAAUGAAUGAUGUCUUAUUGUAAGGACAUGUCCAAUUAAUUGUGCCUUAUAGAAAAUAUAUCUUUUCACUUAAAGAUAUAACUUUUCACAGUGAUAUUUCACUUAGAUAUGCAUCAUUUCAUGGUGACAUUUCAUUUGAAAUGGUGAUGGUUUAUUUUGAACCAUUGAUUAAAAUUAAAUCUUGAUCCAAUGACCCAGAAUAAAGGGGUAUCAUGAAAGAUGACAACCCGAAUGAAGAGACACAAGUAUGUUUAUAAAUAGAGGUCAUGCUUAAACCAUUUAGACAUAAAAAUAAUGAUCACACACCAUUCUUUUCUUAGCCCUCUUUUCUAGAACGAAUUUCAACAUAAAAUUCAUAUUUUUGUGCAUUAAAAAUCUAAUAUAUUGUAUUCUGCACGAAUAAUAUAUUGUUUCUUGGCAAACUUGCAACAUUCAAGAGUAUUCUGCUUUGCUUUCGUCGAUGCACAACGCAAGUAAACAAACAAGUGCUUCAUUGUAUCCUGGAGGCGUAUUUGCUUAACCCAUGUGCAUCACUCAGUUGGUGGGGGCAAAUAACGUCUUAAGGAAAGUAACAUUUGUAACAUGCCUUGAAGUAUAUAAUAUUUUCUACAGUUUACCAAUUAUUAUUAUUUUAUUCCUACAUAAAGAGUUGUAAACACAUUACUUUAUAUAAUAAAAUUCUACUAUUAUUAUUAUAUUUAUCUACAUUUUCCAUUCCCCACAAUUGCAUACCACCAACAAUCCAUAAAGAAUAACACAGAGUCAUUAGAAGAACCAAAAAACUUUACUACUAGACAAAAAAAUUUUGUCUUUUUUAGUAAAUUUUGUGCUAUUGUUGGUACAUAUAGCAUUAUUCAAAACAUAUAUGCACGUGAUGUUGCAUCAUUAUACAUCACUGAUGCAACAUAACAUAUUGACCAAUCUACCGCUUUUUUAUAUUAAAAUAACAGCACUAUAUUUGCCAUUAGGGGUGUUCGUGGAUCGAAUUUUACGGAUUGGAUAUCAAUCCAUAUCCGAUCCAUGAUUUUGCAGAUUAUAAUUUUUCAAUCUAAUCCAAUCCACGGAUUGAUAAAAUUCAAUCCAAAUCCAAUCCAUACAUCUGCGGAUUGGAUACGGAUUUGACUCAAUCCAUAUCCAAUCCAUACGUCUGCGGAUCGGAUGCGGAUUUGACUCAAUCCAUAUCCAAUCCACCAUUUUAUGCAUUAGUUUUUGAAUUAAAAAUUUUUAGUUCUCUCCAACUAAUGAAAUAAAAAAAAUUAAUAUAAAAAUAAUUUUGCUACCAAUUAAAUUUAAAAUUGAAUAAAAUUUAAAUAAAUUAAUUAUUUAAAUAAAGCUAAAAUAAUACAUUUAAAGUUUCAAAAUAUAACACAUCAAGACUAAUUAUUCAAAUAAAGCUACAAUAAUAUGUUCAAAGUUUCAAAAUAUAACACACCAAGCUUAAUUGUUCAAAUAAAGUUACAAUAAUACGUUAAUAUAACACCAAAAUUAAUUGUUCAAAUAAAGCCACAAUUAAUUGAAAUGACGAAGUUUCGGAAAUCAAACACAGUCUGAUCCUUUACCAGGGCUGUUGUGCCUGUCGAAAAGUGGUGAUUAUGGAGCCGUCCACGAUGGGAACCAGGAGAAGCCGUACGGGUGGCGAUCUUGAAGGUUGUGAUAGUGAAAUUGUUCAACUGGAACCAGUGAAUGUGAAGUGGCUCGGUGGACUUGGGAAAGAAGAUGGCUUGCUCUCGCCGGAAUCGCACGGCCGAUGUCCUUAAAAUCCGUGUCAAGAGUGUAUCCAACCAGUAUUGAGUGUUGCUAGUGUGUGUGACGGCGGGGAAGUUUAUGGUUUUUUGUUUGCAAAUUGUUGGUGACUUGACGUCAUGUUACUUUUCUUUUGGGUGACUUUGCAAAUUGUUGGUGACUUGGCGUUAUGUUACUUUGCUUUUACCAGUGCGUGUGACUUUGCUUUUAUUUUGUUUUACAAUUUUUACAAGUUAUAUUUGUAUAUUUGAUUAUUUAAUUAUUUUUCAUUUUAUAUUAUUAUUGGGUAAUGACUAAGAUAUGUUAUAGUGCUUAUGUAAUCAUGUAAUGUCACAUUUAUAAUUUUUUUAAUUAAAUUUAUAAUAAUUUUUUUAAUUUUAUAUAUAUAUAUUUUUUUUUUAUUUUUUUUUUUUUUGCGGAUUCACGGAUUUCUGCGGAUUUACAGAAGUAAAUCCAUAUCCAAUCCAUCGACUGCGGAUUUUUAAAUUUUCAAUCCAUAUUCAAUCCACCAAUCCACGGAUCGGAUUUAAACGGAUCGGAUUGAACGGAUCGGACGGAUUGAACGGAUCGGAUUGGAUUCUGAAUACCCUUAUUUGCCAUGGGUCAAACCCUAAAACCUUACAAAAAACGACGCAUUUUGUGAAUUUUUUUUUGUUUAAAUUUUAACCAAUAUGACGUCGUUUUGCUUCAAGCCUCCCCCACGAAUGGUUUUCCCUUCCUCUUCAUUUCACCACUCAACCCCAACGAUAUAACCGGCCUGCAGAACCCUUAAAUUGUUAUUCUUUCCUUCAAUCCGAUGGGAUUUGGUUUAGAUUAAGCAAAAGCAAAAGCUUGAACAAGGUAAGGUACUAUCUUCUUUGGCUACGAAGAUGUACAUAAACAAAAAGAAUUGAGUUGCAGCAUCUACCCUUGAAAAUUGAGUUUUAAUUCUACGUGGCUUCUUUGGCAACGGAUUAUUUUCAAAGCUUGAAUUUUGCUUGAAUUUUGUUGUUUUAAUUUGCGAAGCCAUUGCCGUUGCUGUUAAAUUGGGUUAAUAUAAUGGGUAAUAAGCUUAUGCUGCGAUGUUUUUUGCUUGAACCCUAAGCUGUUUCAAAUUGAAUCUUGAGUUGUGAGUUGCGGAUUACGAAUGGCAAUUUCAGGUGCGGAUUGUGGAUUGCAAAUGGAAAUUUCAAGCUGUGGCUGGAGCUAGAUUGAAGAAGGAAAGGGGAAAUAUUUGGCUGUGGCUGGAGCUGGUGGUUGGAGCUCGAUCAAUGAAGGAAAGGGGAAAUAUUUGGCUAUGGCUGGAGCUUGUGGCUAGAGCUCGAUCGACGAAGGAAAUGAAAGAGAAAAUAUUUGGCUGCGGCUGGACCUCAAUCAACGAAGGAAAGGCAAGGGAAAAUACUUGGGUGGAGCUCCAUCGACAAAGAAUAAGAGAAAUAUUUGGCAAGCGAAAACGGCAUUGUUUUUGGCUUUAAUAAAACGCUACGUUUAAAUUUUGGGGUUUGACCCGGGGCAAGUAUCAUUUUCGUUAAAAUAAACCAGCCUACGAAGACUUUGAUGUUACCACAGAAAAAUGUGAAAGAAAGCGAGGGUUCGGAAAAUUAAUAUUGAUAAAAUAAUAAUAUAGAGCGGAUCUGAACAUGGAAAGCAUGCAUAUUAAACAACAAAAGGAGAGCCAGAUCCAACGGUGGCUACAAUAAUAACUCCUGUUUUAGGCACACAGGCCAUUCAUAUGCAAUCCCAAGUUGGUCGAGUACUCAAGUUCUUGACUGGUCUCAAUUUCUUCUUAAGCAAGAUCUGGGUUCUCACGAAUUUGCUUCCUCAACUUCUUCAUCCAGGUCACUGUGUGUUGAUACUUGAACAUUGCCCAUGUGUUUGUUUGAAAAAUUUUAUUCUACGUAUUUGUUUUAGGUUUGUUUGUAUUGCCAUCUAACGGUACUGAGCAAUGAAAUUUAGACCGAAAUUUUUGACGAAAAACUGGAAAAUAUAUAUAUUAGAAGUUCUCCGAAGAAUAAACUAUGCACGAACAUUAAAAAAAAUUGUAAAAUUAUGUUUCUUAGAGGUUUUAAACUUCGGUUAUGUGCCACGAGUCAUGGACCACAAGAAGCUGAUUCUUGGCUGCUUUUUGUUUAUUUUUAUUUUACUUGAAUAGACUAAAAGCGUCUGAAGAAUUUUUAACAAAAUAAAAUCAACAAUAAUCGAUUUUAUUUUUGAAUUUGCUUCUUUAUCUUCUUCAUCCAGGUCACUGUGUAGAAAUCAAUAAUGAAAAUGUUCAAUUUCUUGAAAUAUAUGUUCUAAUGUUGUUCGAUAUUUUAUUUCCCGAUAAACAUAAUAUGGUCACAGGGUCCAGCUACAUUGCUUCGGGGGUUUGGUGCCCCAUUUUUUGUCUUUUUCAAAUUCACCGUUGGAUGCAACGCAAGACUUGCAUAAUGGCUUAGAUAUGAUUUUAGGUUAUUAACAUUAAAGGCCCCUCUUGUUCAUGAAAAAAAAAAAUCAAACGUUUUAUAAUUAUGACAUAAAAGUCCAUAAUAUAUAUAUAUAUAUAUUACACUAUUGAACUAGAUUUCCAACUAAAUGACUUAUUCUUACAUGUAUUAAUAUCUAUUAAAUUAAAAAAUUUACUUAUUAAUUAACAAAUUAACUAGUUUAUUAUAUAGUUAAACUAUGUAUAUUAUUUACGAACCAUAAUUAAUGAUAAAUAUAAAUUUAUUUUUUUUAAUUUAACAUAACGACAACCGAUUUCCUCUCACCCAUAUGACCAAGGUUCAAACCCCAUAAUCUUUUUUAUUUCAACACAAGAGAUUUUACUAGCUCAAGUAAAUGUAAUAUACAAAAUAUGAAAAUAAAUUUAAUUUGAUAUUCUAUGUAGUUAAUUUUUUUUGGUAACAUAAGAUUUAUUUAACAUACUAUCAAUUAUUUAAUUAUGUAGUAUAAAUAUGUUAAUUUACUAAUAAUAAUAAAGUUUUAGUUUAUGAAUUUUUAAAAUAAUUUUUGUUUGUUUGAUCAAUAUGUUUGUAUUUUUGGUUGAUUUUUUGUCCUUAAAUAAAAGAAUAAAUUUAAUUGCACACUUAAAUAAAUUAAUAUUUGUUACUCCACACCAACAAUUUAAAUAGUUAUUAGCACAUGUCCAUAUAGUUGAGAUCUUUCAUUAACUUAACUAAGAGAAGGGUAAAAAAAUUCUAAACAAUUACUCUAUUUGAAAAUAAUUUAAAUACUUCCUUAGUUUUCUUUUAUUUAAAAUAAUUUAAAUAUUUCAAAAAAUUUUCUUUUAAUUUACUAGUGUUUGUGUGUAUAAAGAGAAUAAGUGUUUGAAUUCUAAAUAAAUCAUGGCUUCCAAAAGCAUUAAUGUAAUUGAAAAUCUUUAGGUGCAUGAUUAAUGUGUGAAAAUUUAAAAGCUUUUAGUUUUUUUGUUUUUAUAACUAAUAACAGGACUUCAUUGUAAUUGACCUUGAAAAAGACAAAAGAAAGAGGUAUCAAACCAAUUUUGCAACGUAGCUACGCCCUAUGGUCACAACGUUUCCGGUAAGCAUAAGGUUCGCCCAGCAACUGAAAAAAAUAAUUAAUAAUCAAAUUUUAAAUAAAGAAACACUUCAAAAAAUAGAAUAGAAGAAACACAUAAUUUUUGUCAUUAAACACUUUCAAGCACUUCCUCCGUCCUUGAUAAAACAAGUAUAUAACAUUUUUAUGUGUAAGAUUAAUUAGUAUAAAGAAGAUCAAUUUACAAUUUAAAGGAAAUAAAUUAAAGUUGAAUGAGUUCAAAGACUAAAAUCAGAACUCAUUUAUCUAGAUUCUAGGGCUCCAACUACCGUGCACCUAGUGCAUGGUGCUCCUAUUUUGUCCAUAUGUGAGUUGGCCAUUAGAUCUAAUACCGAACUUGCUUCAAGGGAAUGAAUGUGUUUUCUUUUAUUUUUAACAUUGAUGUCCUUAUAGUUUUUUAAAAAAGUAAAAUAAUCAAUGAUUGGACACAUAAUUUUAAAUUGUUUUAAAUUUUUAUAUUUUUAUCAAUUGAUUUAAUUUUAUUAUUAAAAAUUAAUGAUAGUAUAAGGACAAUAACUUGCAAAACCUUUUAAUACAUAUAAUCUUUUUUUAUUUUUUUGAAAACAACAUAAAAUCUAUUCAAUCGAUAAUAAAUAAUUUAAAUAUAUAAUUAAAAUUUAACUUAAUAAUAAUAUGACUAAAUAACAAUUUAAAAAAUUCAAAAUAAUUAACUAUAGUUUAGUAUUCAAAUAUAAAUAAUAGGAAUGACUCUAAAUGUAAAUAUUAGAAACAUAUUGGACUUAGGUGUUAAAAUCUUAAAGCUUCUAUUUUUUUUUUACUUUUCAAAAAAUAAGAGGGACCUAAAAUAAUUUACUAAAAAUUAGGGGUUCCAAUAACCAUGCCCUCGGGGCACCAUAGCUUCGUCCACAUUUCUAGUAUCUAUAAUAUAAUAAUAAUUUUGAAGGAUAUUUUAAUAAUUAAAAAAAUUAAAUUUGGUGGAUAAUUUAGUGGGUCUAAAUACCAACCCUUUUCUCUUAGGGGUAUAUUCAUCUGUGUACCUGCUACUAGCGCAAAGCAAUUCCCCAAAAGCUUGAGGACCUUUGAACAAAAUUUCUGUAGAUCCGCUGAUUCUAAGUACUAGAAGAAUUUCCAGGAUGCCUUUUAUUGCCUUUUUAGGCAGGUGCAUUUUAGUCAAUCACAAGUACUUGUUUGAUAAUUCCCUGCAUUUAAAUAAGGAAGAAGAAGCCACCAGACCGAUCGAUCGACCGAGAAAAAGAUGCCAAAGUUCACUCUCGGAAAUUCCUUUCGUUUUGGCAGCAAAAGGGAAACCGUCUGUAACUUUCAUUCCGAAAAUAUUGAGACGAUACUAAAAAAGUUGACUAAAGAUUGGCUUGAGCAGUUUGCUCGAGAUGCGCAGAUCCAGGCCGAUCUGAUUGGGUGGAAGAAGAUGAUGGUGAAGAUUAAUAAGGUGCUAGAUGAUGCCAUAGAGAAGCAGACGGAGGAGGAGUCAGUGAUGAUAUGGCUAGGCAAACUUCAGCACUUGGCUUGCGAUGUUGACUACUUGUUGGAUGAGUUCCAAACGGAAGCUUUCCAGACGAUGUUGCUGCAAGAUGCUGAUGCGAUGUCUAAAGUAAAGGAGGUCAAUGCUCGAUUGCAAGAUAUUGCAUGGCAAAUAAACGUACUAGGUUU